rnacentral:lncRNA from 1 species
ACUACUACGGUGAAGAGCAUCCCUCCCACUCGGGGGCUUAGCCGCGAUCCAGCCCUCGCCUAAGUUUAAAAAAAACUACUUCGAGUGGAGAGCAUCCCUCCCACUCGAGGGAUUAGCCGCGAGCCAUCCCUCACCUACGUUAAAAAAAAUACUCUGAGUGGAGAGCANNNNNNNNNNNNNNNNNNNNNNNNNNNNNNNNNNNNNNNNNNNNNNNNNNNNNNNNNNNNNNNNNNNNNNNNNNNNNNNNNNNNNNNNNNNNNNNNNNNNNNNNNNNNNNNNNNNNNNNNNNNNNNNNNNNNNNNNNNNNNNNNNNNNNNNNNNNNNNNNNNNNNNNNNNNNNNNNNNNNNNNNNNNNNNNNNNNNNNNNNNNNNNNNNNNNNNNNNNNNNNNNNNNNNNNNNNNNNNNNNNNNNNNNNNNNNNNNNNNNNNNNNNNNNNNNNNNNNNNNNNNNNNNNNNNNNNNNNNNNNNNNNNNNNNNNNNNNNNNNNNNNNNNNNNNNNNNNNNNNNNNNNNNNNNNNNNNNNNNNNNNNNNNNNNNNNNNNNNNNNNNNNNNNNNNNNNNNNNNNNNNNNNNNNNNNNNNNNNNNNNNNNNNNNNNNNNNNNNNNNNNNNNNNNNNNNNNNNNNNNNNNNNNNNNNNNNNNNNNNNNNNNNNNNNNNNNNNNNNNNNNNNNNNNNNNNNNNNNNNNNNNNGGGCUUAGCCGCGAGUUAGCCCUCCCUUAAGUUAAAAAAAACUACUCUGAGUGGAGAAUGUCCCUCCCACUCGGGGGCUUAGCCGAAAGCCAUCCCUCGCCUAAGGUAAAAAACUAUUCUGAGUGGAGAACAUCCCUCCCACUCGGCGGCUUAGCCGCGAGCCACCUCGCCUAAGUUAAAGAACUAUUCCGAGUGGAGAGCAUCCCUCCUACUUGGGGGCUUAGCCGCGAGUCAGCCCUCACCUAAGUUAAAAAACUACUCCAAGUGGAGAGCAUCCCUCCCACUCGAGGGCUUAGCCGCGAGCCAGUCCUCGCCUAAGUUAAGACUACUCCGAGUGGAGAAGAUCCGUCCCACUCGGGGGCUUAGCCGCGAGCAUCCCUCGCCUAAGUUAAAAAUUACUCAGAGUGACGAGCAUCCCUCUCACUCGGAGGGCUAAGCCACGAACCAGUCUUCGCCUAAGUUACGAAAUAAACACUACCAUGCAGGAAAUUAGAAAGCAACUUUCGGAUGAACCCAGAAUCCCAAUGUGCGGAUAGAAGUUCUCAAGUGCAGAUAAAAGUACUUGGGCUAAAAGCCCGGAAGAGUUUUAACGAUUACAAAAUAACUCGGCAUACCAUGGCAAAUAAGUUUCGACUGAAAGAUACUCGGGUCUUAAAGUUCUCCUUCACGCACCAGGGGGGGGCUCACUGGCUCGACAAAAGUGUCUAAAUCUAUGCCAUCCGCAAUUCGAGUGGCCGCCUUGAUGAAUGUCUUAAUGAAGUCUUCAAACUUGAGAUUCUUUGUGUUCGCCACCUGGAGAGCCUUAAACUUUUCUUCCUUGGCGUCUCGGCAAUGGACACGGACGAGUGAGAGUGCCACAUCGGCUCCACAGCAGGCGGCAGAUUUCUUCCAUGCUUGCACUCGCCCAAGAAUUUCAUUCAACCGAGUCAUAAUAGACUCGAGAUCAUUCUGAAGUGUAUCCUCAGGCCACAACUCUUUGUCUAUCUUUGCCAAUGUAGCCUUCAGACGAGCGAUGUACCCCAAGACACCGUUGAGACGAGCUUCAAGUCGCAGCACAUUCAUAGCCGCCGCAUCCUUGACGAGUGACUUGGUGGGAUCCAGACCUAUCUCAAUAUGGUCAGUCUCCAGCUUGAAAUUCUGACAGAAUUGUACACAAAGAGGAGGGAGAGAGUUAGUUAUGGCAUCAUUUUCAAAGUUCUCAGGGAUUCACUCGAGCAAAAAAAAGGUACCUUCAAGCAUGAUGUACAUCUUCGUCGCAAGACUUCCCAAAUACUCUUCCAGUGCAUCCCUCUUUUGGGUGAGCUGGCCCACCUUGUCAUUCAGGGAUGUCUUCUCCAAUUCAAAAGCACUUGCCUGAUCUUCAAUCUUCUUGGCCCACUCGGCAUGUUCCUUCUUAAGCAGGGCAGCCUCUUUCUUCGCCUCAUCAAUGACAGCCUUUAGGGAUGCAUUUUUCUCCUCCAACUUUCUGACUGAGGCUAACUUUGCGUCAGCAGCCUCGGUCUUCUCUCUAGCCACCUUUUGCACCCCCGCAAGUGCAUUGUCCUUGUCUUCCAGAGUCUGCUUCAUGGUGUCUAAAGAAAUAGCAUUCCUGAGUCGCGUUUGAAGUUGAUGGUUUUCAUUAGACACAUCUGUUUGAGUGAAACUACUCAGCUCAAAGGACAGAAAGAAAGAACAACAGUGCAUUUGGUCAACAGGAUUUACCUCCCAGGGUCUUCGCCGCCGUCUGAUCACGACUGAAUUUCCUUUUCACCAGUUCCAAGUCCAGUUGGAGUUGGAUCUUUUCCUUCUCCAGGGUAACAUACUGGGUCCCGAGCUCACAAGUUCUCUGAGAUCAACAAAGAAACAGUUCAGUCGACAACGAAAAAGAUUCUAUAAUAUUCCUCUACUUCCGAGUGGGGAAGAGCAAAUUCAGCUGCUACAAGCAAACAAUUCUAAGACCCCCGCUAAAUCGAACAUUCGACAGUGGUCUCGGGGACUACACCCAGUGGGUGCACUCAGCGUGCCCCCACUGGAUACAUAUUCACUCGACCUUAGCCUGACCGGUCCAAGUGAAGAGCUAAAAAAAGAAAGAUUCAGCUGCUACAAGCAAACAAUUCUCAUACCCCCGCCGAAUCAAACAUUUGACGGCGGUCUCGGGGACUACACCUAGUGGGUGCACUCAGCAUGCCCUCACUGGGUAGAUUCCCACUCGGCAUGGUCUGACCGGUCAUGUGAAAAGUUACAACCUGACAUAUUCUAAGACCCUCUCCAAAUCAAACAUUUGACGGUGGUCUCGGGGACUACACCUAGUGGGUGCACUCAGCGUGCCCCACUAGAUCCGUUUCCACUCGGCCUAGCCUGCCUAGUCCGAGUGAAUAAUUACUACUGACAUUGAAAGUCAAAAGCACCUAGUGGGUGUACAGAGUCAAGAUGGACAGGAAAAAACUCAAUCGAGAAUCAACUUACAAUCACACUUACUCGGACAUUCGCCUGACGAGCUGUGUUGGCAUCAUAAGCCAACUUACUUCCUUCAUACACGUCCUUUAGGCGCUGCAUCAUCAGGUUGGCUUGAAUCAUGGCCUCUUUGCUGGCCCUAGUUUGGUCUUUCGGAACAUGAUGCAGAGUGAAUACAUUAGAUGGAGGAGUUGGUGACGCAACCGGAGGAAUCAACACUUGAGGUUGACCAGUCGGUCCCGGGGCCAGAGGAUUCAGCACCAAAGGUGGAGCAGUCGAUGGAGGGAUGACAGGAUCAACACUGGCUUGAGAGGAAAUACCUGGUUCCUGAGACAUAGCAGCAGGCGGCGCACGGGGUGUUUGGCUUGACGACACUCUCCGAGUGAAGUUUCGGAGAGCGGUCGAGGUCGUACCUUUUCCACCCGAGUCCUUCUGAGGCUCCUCUUUGUCGUCAUCAGCAACAUGGAUGAUAUAUGUUGGCUCUACUGUCACUCAACAACAAUAACAACUCAUUCAAUUGUCGAAUCAACCAAUGAAACAGAGCAGAGUGAAAACCUGCCAUACCUCGCUGAGAAUUGGCCGCGUCUGCAGUGUCCAUAUCCACAUGGUCCUCAUCAAUCCUCAUGGGCGACGUUAUCGAAGUGGCAACUCUGGCACACAAUUCUCACUCGGUCAGCAAAGGCAUGAUGUUCUGCAGGAAUAUGAAGGGAAGAAAAAACACUCGUGUCGAAGCGAUAGGCACGACAACAUUUAUUCUGGGCAGAGCCUUCCGGGGUUUCGAUGGAGCGUCCUUGGGAUGUUUCACAGUCUUCUCAGUCAAAUCUGGUGUAGCAGUCCGAGUGCGCUUCGGGUUCCUGACAUUUGACACCAUAGCCUUACUCUGGUUGGCCGUCGGAUCUUGGGUCAGUUUGGAUCGAUGCUCGGUGCACGGAGGAGACUCGAGUCCCUCACUUUCUUCUGAGUCAUCACUAUUGCCCUCACUGUCUUCAUGAUAACUGAUAUUAGCACUCCACCCUCGCUGUCCGCUCCUUCGAUGAGUUGUUCUCUGUUCGGCACGGGGGAAAACAUCUUCGUGAACUCUUGUGAAGCCCAAAUAUCAAAGCAAGUCGGUUACCAACCCAUUCGCAUGUUGGAAACAAAAGGUAAAACACUCGACAAGAUAUGUCUCACCUCCCCUGGUUGGUGCUCAGCGUCGAAAGGCUAAAUCCGCUUGGACCUACGUGGAUUGUCACGAGCUCCGGUGAUGCUUCUAAGCCAUUGCAUCACAAUCUCGUCCUUGACCUCCUCUGAAUGCGUCCGAGUGGGAUCGUCUGAACCCGUGUACACACAUGGGAUGGCUCCGUGCCCGUAGGGGCUGGAUCCAUCGACUAAGGAAUACCUCCAACAGAUCCAAGCCGGUCACUCCAACUCGGAUCAGCUCGAUGAUACGUCUCCAAUGUAUCUAUAAUUUUUAAUUGUUUCAUGCUAUUAUAUUAUCAUUCUUGGAUGUUUUACAACCAUUUUAUAAUCAUUUUAUAUCAUUUUUUGGUACUAACCUAUUGACAUACUGCCUAGUGCCAGUUGCUAUUUUCUGCUUGUUUUUUACAUCGCAGCAAAACUUUUUGUGGAUUUUUCUGGACCAGAAGAAACAAGAUUGGCCAAAGAAGUACCAGAGGGGUGCCCCAAUGGGGUAACAAUGCACCAGGGUGCGCCUGGGGGCCUAGGCGCGCCCAGGUGGGUUAUGCCCACCUCGAUGGCCUUCCGCAUUGCCUCUUUGCUCUAUAAAUACCCCAAUAUUCCAGAAACCCUAGGGGAGUCAACGAAAAUCAAUUCUAGCCACCGCAAGUUCCAGAACCACUAGAUCCAAUUUAACACCAUCACGGAGGGGUUCAUCAUCCUCAUUGGUGCCUCUCUGAUGAUGCGUGAGUAGUUCAUUGUAGACCUACGGGUCUGAUACGUCUCCAACGAAUCUAUAAUUUUUGAUUGUUCCAUGCUAUUAUAUUACCGGUUUUGGAUGUUUAUGGGCUUUAUUUUACACAUUUAUAUCAUUUUUGGGACUAACCUACUAACCGGAGGCCCAGCCAGUAUUGCUGUUUUUUUGCCUAUUUCAGUAUUUCGAAGAAAAGGAAUAUCAAACGGAGUCCAAAUGGAAUGAAACCUUCGGGAGCGUGAUUUUGGAACGAACGUGAUCCAGAGGACUUGGAGGUCAAGUCAAGAAGCAAACUUAGGCGGCCAGGAGAUAGGAGGGCGCGCGCACCCCUCCUGGGUGCGCCCCUGUCUCCUGGGCCCCUCGAGCGGCCACCGACAUAAUUCUUCUUCCUAUAUAAACCUACGUACCCUGAAAACAUCCAGGGAGCCACCGAAGAAAUAUUUACGCCACUGUAACCUUCUGUAUCCGCGAGAUCCCAUCUUGGAGCCGUCGCCGAUGUUCUGCCGGAGGGGGAAUCCACCACGGAGGGCUUCUACAUCAACAACAUAGCCCUUCCGAUGAGUUGUGAGUAGUUUACCACAGACCUUCAGGUCCAUAGUUAUUAGCUAGAUGGCUUCUUCUCUCUUUUUGGAUCUCAAUACAAUGUUCUCCCCCUCUCUUGUGGAGAUCUAUUCGAUGUAAAUUCUUUUUGCGGUGUGUUUGUCGAGAUCCGAUGAAUUGUGGGUUUAUGAUCAAGUUUAUCUAUGAGAAAUAUCUGAAUCUUCUCUGAAUUCUUUUAUGUAUGAUUGAGUUAUCUUUGCAAGUCUCUUCGAAUUAUCGAUUUGGUUUGGCCUAUUAGAUUGAUCUUUCUUGCCAUGGGAGAAGUGCUUAGCUUUGGGUUCAAUCUUGCGGUGUCCUUACCUAGUGACAUAAAGGGUUGCAAGGCACGUAUUGUAUUGUUUCCAAGGAUAAAAAAUGGGGUUUAUAUCAUAUUGCUUGAGUUUAUCCCUCUACAUCAUGUUAUCUUUCUUAAUGCGUUACUCUAUUCUUAUGAACUUAAUACUCUAGAUGCAUGCUGGAUAGCGGUCCUUGUGUUGAGUAAUAGUAGUAGAUGCAGGCAGGAGUCGGUCUACUUGUCACGGACGUGAUGCCUAUAUACAUGAUCAUGCCUAGAUAAUCUCAUAAUUAUUCGCUUUUCUAUCAAUUGCUCGACAGUAAUUUGUUCACCCGUCGUAAUACUUAUGCUAUCUUGAGAGAAGCCUCUAGUGAAACCUAUGGCCCCCGGGUCUAUCUUUUAUCAUAUAAGAUUUCAAUUUACUUUUAUUUGCAUCUUUACUUUUUGCAUCUAUAUUAUAAAAUACCAAAAACAUAUUUAUCUUAUCAAAUUAUCUCUACCAGAUCUCACUUUCGCAAGUGGCCGUGAAGGGAUUGACAACCCCUUUAUCGUGUUGGUUGCGAGUUCUUUGUUUGUUUGUGUAGGUUCAUGGGACUUGUGAGGAGCCUCCUACUGGAUUGAUACCUUGGUUCUCAAAAACUGAGGGAAAUACUUACGAUACUGUGCUGCAUCACCCUUUCCUCUUCAAGGAAAACCAACGCAAGUUCAAGACGUUGAAAGAAGGAUUUCUGGCGCUGUUGCCGAGGAAGUCUUCGCUAAGGUCAAGACAUACCAAGUACCCAUCACAAACUCAUCUCCCUCGCAUUUACAUUAUUUGCCAUUUGCCCCUCGUUUUCCUCUCCCCCACUUCACCUUUGCCGUUUUAUUUGCCCUCUAUUUCCCAAUCUCUCUCUCUUUUUUCGCUUGCCUUUUUCUGUUUGCUUGUGUGUUGGAUUACUUGUUGACAUGGCGCAAGAUAAUACCAAAUUGUCUGAUUUCUCCAAUACCAAUAAUAAUGAUUUCCUUAGUACUCCGAUUGCUCCUCUUAAUGAUGUUGAGUCUUGUGAAAUCAAUGUUGCUUUGCUGAAUCUUGUUAUGAAAGAUCAAUUCUCCGGCCUUCCUAGUGAAGAUGCCACUACCCAUCUAAACAACUUUGUUGAGUUGUGUGAGAUGCAAAAGAAAAAAGAUAUGGAUAAUGAUAUUGUUAAAUUGAAGUUAUUUCUGUUUUCACUUAGAGAUCGUGCUAAAGUUUGGUUUUCGUCUUUGCCUAAAAAUAGUAUUGAUUCUUGGAACAAGUGCAAAGAUGCUUUUAUCUCUAAGUAUUUUCCUCCCGCUAAGAUCAUCUCGCUUAGGAACGAUAUUAUGAAUUUUAAACAACUUGAUCAUGAGCAUGUUGCCCAAUCUUGGGAAAGAAUGAAAUUAAUGAUUCGCAAUUGCCCUACUCAUGGUUUGAAUUUAUGGAUGCUCAUACAAAAAAUUUAUGUCGGUUUGAACUUUGCUUCUAGAAAUCUUUUAGAUUCGGCCGCCAGAGGCACGUUUAUGGAAAUCACUUUAGGAGAUGCUACAAAACUUCUUGAUAAUAUUAUGGCUAAUUAUUCUCAAUGGCACACCGAACGAUCUACUAGUAAAAAAGUGCAUGCUAUAGAAGAAAUUAAUGUUUUGAGUGGAAAGAUGGAUGAGCUUAUGAGAUUGUUUGCUACUAAGAGUGCUUCUAUUGAUCCCAAUGAUAUGCCUUUAUCUACCUGGAUUAAGAAUAAUAAUGAAUCUAUGGAUGUAAAUUUUAUUGGUAGAAAUAAUUUUGGAAACAAUGCUUAUAGAGGAAACUUUAAUUCUAGACCGUUCCCUAGCAAUUCCUCUAAUAAUUAUGGAAAUUCCUACAAUAAUUCUUACACCUCGUUUGGAUGUAGACAUUGGAGUCUGGAUUUCAUAAUUGGCAUCGGGCUGGCCCGAAUGCCACCGUUUGGAUGGCUCAGAUAUUCAGGUGUGGAAUUCGGUCGCAAUAUCGAACAGUUUUCGCCAACACACGCACGGACCUCCGUGAAUACACAGUGCUUGGGCUCCGUAUUCCCUGGAAUCGCCUCGCUACUCCUUCGCUGGACUCGUCAUCUGCUUCACUAGUGCAUGCACCUGCCCAUUAGGAGAUCGAGGCCGGACCGCCCGGUCGCCGCUGACCGGCGGCUUCUCUGCAAAGACCCUAGCGGCUGCCUCCACCGUCCAGGACGCCAGCUUCUCGCUAGUGCAUUGUCCCUAGCCUGGGAGCUUUUGCCUCAGAUGGGGGCGAGAGCAAGCAAGGGCCGGCAUUCUUGGAUGCAAUCGGCAGCGGCGGCGAGUCUGUCUGGACAUGAGCGGCGGCGGCGAGUCCGACACUGAAGCUCCGAUUUGCCGGCAGCGCGGUCGUUGCAGCUACGCGUACUUGGCUGUGUUCGUUCGAUUUCCGGUAGUGUGCGCCUGCUCGGUGUGCAUCUGAUUUACCGCAUUGCACGUGUUGCUGCUUUGCAUGCACGCGUCUGAUUUCCGGCCAUGCUCCACGCUGCUCCGUGCGCGUUGCUGCGUGCCUUGCUAGUUCUAGUAUAUGUGUGCUCUGCGCUAGUUUCUAUGUGUGUGCUCUGCCCUGCUCUGUGUGUGUACGAUGUGCAAUUCAAUACUUUCAUGGAUUCCAAGUGCUGAAUACAUGCACAUCCAAACACUAAAAUUGAUAUUGAACCUCAAUGUCAAUGUCAUGGAUAUUUGGCAUUGGAGCCAAUAAAAUGCCAAGCUCUUCAAUGUCUACAUCCAAAUGGAGCGUUAUGGUAAUUUUAAUAAGAUGCCCUCUGAUUUUGAGAAUAGCGUAAAAGAAUUUAUGAUCUCUCAAAAGAAUUUUAAUGCCUUGCUUGAAGAAAAAUUGCUCAAAGUUGAUGAUUUGGCUAGGAACGUUGAUAGACUUUCGCUCGAUGUUGAUUCUUUGAAACUUAGAUCUACUCGUCCUAAGCAUGAUAUCAAUGAGUCUCUCAAAGCUAUGAGAAGUUCCAUUGACGAGUGCAAAGAAAGAACCGCUAGAUUGCGUGCUAAGAAAUAUUACUUUGUUAAAGCGUGUUCUUCUAGUUUCCAUGAAAAUAAUGAUGAAGAUCUUAAGGUUAUUGACGCAUUCCCUAUUAGAUCCUUCUUUUUCAAUAUGAAUCUUGAUGAUAAUGGUACUGGAAGUGAAUCAACUUUUGUUAAAAAGCGUUCCGAUAAUUUGGAGUUUUUAGAUCUUGAUGCUAAAUUUGGUAAAAGUGCAAUUGCAGAGGUCAAAACUUUAAAUAGUAUUGAACCCACUAUCUCGGAUUUCAAGGAAUUUGAUGAUGAUAAUUGUUCUUUAUAAUGUUGUAUUUCCUUCUUAGAAUCCGUUGUGAAUUCUCCUCAUGCUUAUAGUCAAACUAAAGCCUUUACCAAACAUAUUGUUGAUGCCUUGAUGCAAUCUUUUGAUGAAAAACUUGAUUUGGAAGUUUCUAUACCUAGAAAACUUAAUGAUGAGUGGGAACCUACUAUAAAGAUUAAAAUUAAAGAUUAUGAGUGUUGUGCUUUGUGUGAUUUGGGUGCUAGUGUUUCCACGAUUCCGAAAACUUUAUGUGAUAUUCUAGGUUUCCAUGAUCUUGAUGAUUGCUCUUUAAAUUUGCACCUUGCGGAUUCCACCAUUAAAAAGCCAAUGGGAAGGAUCAAUGAUGUUCUCAUUGUUGCAAAUAGAAAUUUGGUGCCCGUAGAUUUUAUCGUUCUUGAUAUAGAUUGCAAUUUUUCUUGCCCUAUUAUUCUUGGUAGACCUUUCCUUAGAACGAUUGGUGCGAUUAUUGAUAUGAAGGAAGGGAAUAUUAGAUUCCAAUUUCCGUUAAAAAAAGUCAUGGAGCACUUUCCAAGAAAGAAAGUCAAAUUACCUUAUGAAUAUAUCAUGCGAGCUACCGAUGAAUCAAGUGCCAAAGAUGGCACUACUUAGAUCUAUCCUUACUUUUAUGCCUAGCUAGGGGCGUUAAACGAUAGCGCUAGUUCGGAGGCAACCCAAUUUUCUUUGUGUUCUUUGUUUUUGUUACUGUUUAGUAAUAAGUUUUUCAUCUAAUUUAUGUUUAGAUGUGUUUUCUUGUUUUAAUUAGUGUUUGUGCCAAGUAGAACCUAUAGGAUAACCUAUGAUAUGAGUUAAUUUGAUUCUGCUGAAAAACAGAAACUUUGUGCUCACGAGAAAAACUUCAAUAAAUCACAGAAACGUGCUUUUACACUGAUUCUUUUUGCUUCUGAUCAAUAGACAAAUUGUUUAGGACGUCCUAUUUUGGUAGGAUUUUUGGAGUUCCAGAAGUAACCGAAAGUUACAGAUUUCUACAGACUGUUCUGUUUUUGACAGAUUCUGCCUUUCGUGUGUUGUUUGCUUAUUUUGAUGCUUCUAUGGAUAGUAUGUAAGGGUAUGAACCAUAUAGAUCUUGGAAUACAGUAGGUUUAACACAAAUAUAAAUAAAGAAUGAGUUCAUUACAGUACCUUAUGUGGUGGUUUUUCUUUCUUGCACUAAUGGAGCUUAUGAGAUUUCCUGUUGAGUUUUGUGUUGUGAAGUUUUCAAGUUUUGGGUAAAGAUUUGAUGGACUGUGGAAUAAAGAGUGCCAAAAGCCUAAGCUUGGGGAUUCCCAAGGCACCCCAAGAUAUUCAAGAAUAGACAAAAGCCUAAACCUUGGGGAUGCCCCCGGAAGGCAUCCCCUCUUUCGUCUUUGUUCAUUGGUAACUUUACUUGGAGCUAUAUUUUUAUUCGCCACAUGUUAUGUGUUUUGCUUGGAGCGUUGUGUAUUAUAUUAGUCUUUGCUUUUUAGUUUACCACAAUCACCCUUGUUGUACACACCUUUUGGGAGAGUCCCACUUGAUUAGAAUUUAUUAGAAUAUGCUAUGUGCUUCACUUAUAUCUUUUGAGCUACAUAGUUUUUGCUCUAGUACUUCACUUAUAUCUUUUAGAGCACGGUGGUGGAUUAAUUUUGAGGAAAUUGCUAGUAUCUCAUGCUUCACUUAUAUUAUUUUGAGAGUCUCUUAGAACAGCAUGGUAUUUCCUAUGGUUAUGAAUUUGGUCCUAGAAUGAUGAGCAUCCAAGUUGGGUAUAAUAAAAACUAUCAUAGAAAGUGCAUUAAACACUAGGAUCAAUUUGAUGCUUGAUAAUUGUUUUGAGAUAUAAAGUUAGUAAUGUUAGAGUCAUGAUAGUGAAUAAUUAUGAAAUUGAUAAAUACUUGUGUUGAAGUUGGCAAGUCCCGUAGCAUGCACGUAUGGUAAAAGUUGUGUGACAAAUUUGUUGCAUGAGGUGCUCUUUUGAUUGUCUUCCUUAUGAGUGGCAGUCGGGGACGAGCGAUGGUAUUUUCCUACCAAUCUAUCCCUCUAGGGGCAUGCAUAGUAGUACUUUGCUUCAAGGGCUAAGUAGACUUUUGCAAUAAGUAUGAGUUCUUUAUGACUAAUGUGAGUCCAUGGAUAUACACACACUCAUCCUUCCACUUUGCUAGCCUCUAUUUUACCGCGCAACUUUCGCUGGUAGCAUGCACCCAUUAUUCACAUCACUCAAAACAGCCACCAUACCUACCUAUUAUGGCAUUUCCAUAGCCAUUCUGAGAUAUAUUGCCAUGCAACUUUCCACCGUUCCGUUUAUUAUGACACGCUCCAUCAUUGUCAUAUUGCUCUUUGCAUGAUCAUGUAGUUGACAUCGUAUUUGUGGCAAAGCCACCUUCAUAAUUUUCAUACAUGUCGCUCUUAAUUCAUUGCAUAUCCCGGUACACCGCCGGAGGCAUUCAUAUAGAGUCAUAUCUUGUUCUAGCUUUGAGUUGUAAUUCUUGAGUUGUAAAUCAAUAAAAGUGUGAUGAUCUUCAUAAUUAGAGCAUUGUCCCAGUGAGGAAAGCGUGAUGAAGACUAUGAUUCCCCCACAAAUCGGGAUGAGACUUCGGACUUUAUAGAAAUAAAAGAGGCCAAAGAAGCCCACCAAAAAGAAAAAAAAAGAAAAAAAAGAAACGAAAAAAAAAGAAAAAAAAGGGAAGAAAAAGAAAAAAAAUAAAAUGAGAGAAAAAGAGAGAAGGGACAAUUGCUACUAUCUCUUUUCCACACUUGUGCUUCAAAAUAGCACCAUGAUCUUCAUGAUAGAGAGUCUCCUAUGUUGUCACUUUCAUAUACUAGUGGGAAUUUUUCAUUAUAGAACUUGGCUUGUAUAUUCCAAUGAUGGGCUUCUUCAAAAUGCCCUAGGUCUUCGUGAGCAAGCAAGUGGGAUGCACACCCACUUAGUUUCUUUUGUUGAGCUUUCAUACAUUUAUAGCUCUAGUGCAUCCGUUGCAUGGCAAUCCCUACUCACUCACAUUGAUAUCUAUUAAUGGGCAUCUCCAUAGCCCGUUGAUACGCCUAGUUGAUGUGAGACUAUCUUCUCCCUUUUGUACUUACAACCACCACCAUAUACCACCAUAGUGCUAUGUCCAUGGCUUGCGCUCAUGUAUUGCUUAAGAGUUGAAAAAAGCUGAAGCGUAUUAAAAAGUAUGAACCAAUUGCUCGGCUCAUCAUCGGGGUUGUACAUGAUGAGAGUAUUUUGUGUAAUGAAAAUGAAGCAUGGCCUAACUAUAUGAUUUUGUAGGAAUAAGCUUUCUUUGGCUAUGCUAUUCUGAUAGGACAUGAUUAUUUGUUAGUAUGCUUCGAAGUAUUAUUAUUUUUAUGUUUUAUAAGAUUUUAUCUUGAAUCAUUUGGAUCUGAACAUUCAUGCCACAAUAAAGAAAAUUACAUUGAGAAUUAUGCUAGGUAGCAUUCCACAUCAAAAAUUCUAUUUUUAUCAUUUACCUACUCGAGGACGAGCAGGAAUUACGCUUGGGGAUGCUUGAUACGUCUCCAACGUAUCUAUAAUUUUUUAUUGUUCCAUGCUAUAAUAUUACCUGUUUUGGUUGUUUAUGGGCUUUAUUUUACACAUUUAUAUCAUUUUUGGGACUAACCUACUAACCUGAGGCCCAGCCCGUAUUGCUGUUUUUUUGCCUAUUUCAGUAUUUCGAAGAAAAGGAAUAUCAGACGGAGUCCAAAUGGAAUGAAACCUUCGGGAGCAUGAUUUUUGGAACAAACGUGAUCCGGAGGACUUGGAGGGAAAGUCAAGAAGCAAUCGAGGCGGCCAGGAGAUAGGAGGGCACGCCCACCCCUCCUGGGCGCGCCCCCUGUCUCCUGGGCCCCUCGAGCAGCCACCGAUGUACUUCUUCUUCCUAUAUAAACCUACGUACCCCGAAAACAUCUAGGGAGCCACCGAAGAAAUAUUUCCGCCACCGUAACGUUCUGUAUCCGCGAGAUCCCAUCUUGGAGCCGUCGCCGGCGUUCUGCCGGAGGGGGAAUCCACCACAGAGGGCUUCUACAUCAACACCAUAGCCCUUCCGAUGAGUUGUGAGUAGUUUACCACAGACCUUCGGGUCCAUAGUUAUUAGCUAGAUGACUUCUUCUCUCUUUUUGGAUCUCAAUACAAUGUUCUCCCCCUCUCUUGUGGAGAUCUAUUCGAUGUAAACUCUUUUUGCGGUGUGUUUGUCGAGAUCCGAUGAAUUGUGGGUUUAUGAUCAAGUUUAUCUAUGAGAAAUAUCUGAAUCUUAUCUGAAUUCUUUUAUGUAUGAUUGAGUUAUCUUUGCAAGUCUCUUCGAACUAUCGAUUUGGUUUGGCCUAUUAGAUUGAUCUUUCUUGCCAUGGGAGAAGUGCUUAGCUUUGGGUUCAAUCUUGUGGUGUCCUUACCCAGUGACAGAAAGGGUUGCAAGGCACGUAUUGUAUUGUUGCCAUCGAGGAUAAAAAGAUGGGGUUUAUAUCAUAUUGCUUGCGUUUAUCCCUCUACAUCAUGUUAUCUUUCUUAAUGCGUUACUCUGUUCUUAUGAACUUAAUACUCUAGAUGCAUGCUGGAUAGUGGUCGAUGUGUGGAGUAAUAGUAGUAGAUGCAGGCAGGAGUCGGUCUACUUGUCACGGACGUGAUGCCUAUAUACAUGAUCAUGCCUAGAUAAUCUCAUAAUUAUUCGCUUUUCUAUCAAUUGCUCGACAGUAAUUUGUUCACCCACCGUAAUACUUAUGCUAUCUUGAGAGAAGCCUCUAGUGAAACCUAUGACCCCCGGGUCUAUCUUUUAUCUUAUAAGCUUUCAAUCUACUUUUAUUUGCAUCUUUACUUUUUGCAUAUGUGUUAUGAAAUACCAAAAACAUAUUUAUCUUAUCAUAUUAUCUCUAUCAGAUCUCACUUUCGCAAGUGGCCGUGAAGGGAUUGACAAUCCCUUUAUCGCGUUGGUUGUGAGUUGUUUGUUUGUUUGUGUAGGUUCGUGGGACUUGUGAGGAGCCUCCUACUGGAUUGAUACCUUGGUUCUCAAAAACUGAGGGAGAUACUUACGCUACUGUGCUCCAUCACCCUUUCCUCUUCAAGGAAAACCAACGCAAGCUCAAGACGUAGCAGGGUCCAUAGUUAGUAGUUAGAUGGCUUCCUCUAUCUCUCUCUCUCUAUCUAUCUAUCUCUCUCUCCCUUGAUUCUCAAUACAAUGGUCUCUUUGGAGAUCCAUAUGAUGUAACUCUUUUUGCGGUGUGUUUGUUGGGAUCCAAUGAACUUUGAGUUUAUGAUAAUAUCUACGUUUUUAUCCAUGAAAGUUAUUUGAGUCUUCUUUGAUCUCUUAUAUGCAUGACUGCUUAUAGCCUCGUAUUUCUUCUCUGAUAUUUGGAUUUUGUUUGGCCAACUUGAUCUAUUUAUCUUGCAAUGGAAGAGGUGCUUUGUGAUUGGUUCGAUCUUAUGGUGCUUGAUCCCAGUGACAGAAGGGGACCCGACGCUAUUAAGGAUAACAAGAUGGGGUCUAUUUCUACAUAAAUAGAUCUUGUCUACAUCAUGUGAUCAUUCUUAUUGCAUUACUCCAUUUUUCCAUGAACUUAAUACACUAGAUGCAUGCUGGAUAACGGUCGAUGUGUCGAGUAAUAGUAGUAGAUGCAAGCAGGAGUCUGUCUACUAAUCUUGGACGUGAUGCCUAUAUAAUGAUCAUUGCUUGGAUAUUGUCAUUAUUAUUUGAAGUUCUAUCAAAUAUCCAACAGUAAUUUGUUUAUCCACCGUUUGCUAUUUUUCUCGACGGAAGCCACUAGUGAAACCUACGCCCCCCUGGGUCUCUUCUUUAUUAUAUUUGCCUUCGAGAUCUAUUUUCAUUUGCUUUUAUUUUCUGAUCUAUUAAUCCAAAAAUACAAAAAUACCUUGCUGCAAUUUUUAGUAAUUUAUUUUACCUCGCGUUCCCGCGAGAUCUAUUUAUCCAAUGUACUAUAGUUUUAUCUAUCUUUUUACCUCCGAGGGAUUGACAACCCCUCUCUUACGUCGGCUUGCAAGUAUUUGUUCUUUGUGUACAGGAGCUAUUUACGUGGUGUUGGGUGGUUCUCCUAUUGGUUUGAUAACCUUUUUUUUUAGAAUCUCAAGUAGCAAAGCUACUCGGAGGGCCUAUUACAUUCAGACAUCAUCAAAGAUCGGAGGCUAUCAGGCACAUCUGCAUUUAACAUUUGAUCUCCAUCACUCCUGUUUAGUGCAGCUAAUCCAUGUGCCAGUGCAUUCUUGCAGCGCAUCACGUAGCCGAUCUUGCAUGCAGGGAAAGUGCCCAUGGCCUGCUUGAUGUCCAUGAUUAGGCCAUAGCAGGCAGACCGCGUGGGGUACUGCGACUCCACCUCUUUCACAAUCAACUGGUUAUCCAUCUCCAGUACCACUUGGCCGGUGUGCACCCUAGUCAGUUCCUGCAGACCGAUCAGGGCCGCUCUUGCCUCAGCCUCUUCCACGUUGUUGCUGUGCGGCAGUUUUCUGCAUACAGAAAAAACGGCAUUGCCCUAGUGGUCUCUUGCGACUGCUCCUGCGGCGCCCCCUCCUGUCUCAGCCACAAAGGACGCGUCUGUAUUUAGUUUGACUGUACCUCGGAGAGGGGGGGUCCAAAGCAUGUCUGACGGGGAGGCGAGACUCGGCUCAGGGGCAGGCCUGCCAGUGGUAGUUUUUCCGUCCAAUAGGACAGCAGCAGUGUAUCCAGCCAUUCUGAACUCCUCCUCAUACUGCUCAAGAAACUGCACAGAAGACCUAAUUGUCUGUCUUCCAUCAUUGCGUAUACAGUCUUCGCGGAGGUGCCAACAACGCCAGAAAAGCAGCAGGAUUUUUGCCCGGGUGUCCUCAUUCUCUGAAUCCAGUAGCACCUGCAGCCAGUUAUCUCCCGUGUACCGAAAUUUCCUCUCCGGCGGCAGAUACCAAACCUCGCGCAUUGCCGAUCUCAGCCCUCUGCUUUUCGUGCACGUGACGACUGCAUGGUACUCGUUUUCAUCACCUUGGCCACAGAUACAACAGGUUGCAUCCGUUUCCAGUGUUCGUUUAAACUUAUUUUCCUUAGUGGCUAGAGUUUUAGUCGCCACUCUCCAUCCGAAUAUCUCAACUUUUCCGGCCACAUUUGAUUUCCAUAUUAAGUCCCACAUGCUGCGAUCAUUGGCUCCCCUUGCUGAGCUGGACGGGGCAUGGCCUGAUUGGGCAAGAUUUGCAGCCAGCUUGUAAGCACUCUUAACAGAGAAGAUGCCAUUGUUUUCAUAGUGCCACACAAGGCGGUCUUCUGCAUCAGAGUUUGGGAUAGGGAUCUUGCAGAUCACAUCUGCAUCAAAAGGGUAGAAGAUUUGUCGUAUUAGGUCUUCAUUCCACUCUUUCCUGUCCGGGAGCAUGAGCUGAUUCACCCAACGAAGCCUAGACCUCCGGAUGAAUGCCGCUGUCAUGAGGCCUUCCCUCCUUGGUAGCCAUUGGUCGCGCUGGAUUUGGAUGUUUUUCCCGUCACCCACUCUCCAUAUUAUCCCCUUUUUCAGAAGCUGCAGUCCAAACUCGAUGCCUCUCCAAACAGGCGAUGCAUCCGAUGCAAAGACAGUGUCUAGGAUAUUUCCGUUGGGGUAAUACUUAGACUUGAGCACCCUUGCACAUAGGCUCUCCAGGUUUUGGAUUAAUCUCCAGCCUUGUUUAGCAAGAAGAGCCUGGUUGAAGAGGUGCAUGUCUCUAAAUCCAAUGCCGCCCGCUCUCUUAGGUUUUAUCAUGCGAUCCCAAGACAUCCAAUGAACCUUCCUAUGUUCCUCUUCAUCCCCCCACCAAAAAUCUCUAAUCAUCCUUUCGUACUUCUCGCAGAAGCCUUUGGAUAGCAUGAAAACACUCAUGACGAAGGUUGGGAGCCCCUGGACCACUGACUUGACGUGAACCUCUUUUGCCGCAUAGGACAUAAAUUUUUCCGACCAAUCAUUGCAUCUCUUUCCAAACCUAUCCAAAAUCGGUUGGAACUGAUCAUCCUUCAUUCUCCCCUCCGGGGUUGGUAAUCCAAGGUACUUGCUUUCAAAAGUGUCUACUUGCACCCCAAGAAUACCUUUUAUACCCUCUCUUGUCACAGCCGGGCAUGCUUCACUGAAAAGAAGAGAGCAUUUGCUCUCACUUAGGAGUUGGCCCGUGCACUCCUGGAAGAUGGCAAGGACUUUUUUAACGGUCUCUGCUUGCUCUGUCGUGGCCUUGAAGAAAAUCAGGCUAUCAUCUACAAAGAGGAGGUUUGAAAUGCCCAGACUAUUCCUUGCAAUCUUUAUGGGUGUCAAGUUUUUCUCCACUAUCUCCUUCUUCAGUAGGUGUACUGGGCCGUCCGCCACGAAUAAGAACAAAUAUGGGCUCAGAGGGUCUCCUUGCUGUAGGCCUCGUGAUGGGACAAACGGGUCAAGCAGGUGCCCAUUUAACCGCACCGAGUAUCGUACAGACCGGAUGCACUGCAUCACCCAGUCUGUCCAUUUCCUACAAAAACCAAAUUUUCGGAGCACACCCUCUAGAAAAUCCCAGUCCACUCUGUCAUAAGCCUUGGCUAGGUCCACCUUGUACGCGCAGAAAUUGUCUCUGAUAUUCUUACUGUGUUGGAUUUUGUGGAAGCAUUCGAACGCAAUAAUGGCGUUGUCCGUGAUCAUUCUACCCGGAAUGAAGGCACUUUGUGUCUCAGAAAUGAUUUCAUCCAGCAUGGGCCGUAACCGGUUGACGAGGCACUUUGAUAUCACUUUAUAAAUGACAUUGCAUAAUCCUAUGGGUCUGAAAUCCUUUAGCAACUACGCAUCUUUUCCUUUAGGGAUAAGGACAAUCACUGUGUCGUUGAUUCCUUUCGGUAGGAUCCCAUUUUCAAAGAACUCGAGAACCCCUCUGACAACGUCGCCUUUAAUUUCCCCCCAGUUUCUUUGAAAGAACCGUGCCGGAAAGCCAUCGGGGCCUGGUGCUUUCAAAGGACCAAUUUGGAACAGAGCAUCACUUAUUUCCAACUCUGAGUAAGGUUUAGUCAACAAGUCGUUCAUAUCAUUAUUCACCCGGUUCCCAAUCAGGUCCAGAACAACCUUUGGAUCGACCGAUUUAUCUUUCUCAUAAAGCUUUUUGAAGAAAUAGUUUGUCAUUUCAUGAAUGCCCUUGUCGUCCUCGACCCAUCUUCCUGAUUCAUCUUUUAGUCUUUCAAUGGUAUUUUUCUUUCUUCGCCAAGUUGCCUUCUGUUGGAACCACUUAGUAUUCCUGUCACCCUCUCUCAGAUACGUGGCGCGAGAGCGUUGUCUCCACAUGAGCUCCUCCCUCAACAGCAGUUCAUCCAGCUCCCUAGCCAAAUGGUCAGCUUUGAUUUGUUUCUCAGGGUUGAGUGGAAAGCUCCAGAUCCUAUUUAGUCUCGCCCUAAUCUCUGCUGUUUUUUUAAUGACCGAGCCAAAAUCUCUAGCAGCCCAGCUACGCAGGUCCGUCUGCAUCUGUUUCAAUUUUGAGCACACUUUCUGCAGGUUGUCAGCCGGUCCGUUCUCUCUCCAAGUUGCAGCAAUGGUUGUCUGAAGGCUCUCCACUCUCUCCCACAUCUGCUCGUACCUGAAGGAGGUGCACACAUUUGGUCCCACUGCUCUCCAUUCCUUCCUGCUGCCCACUUUCAACAAUACAGGUAGGUGAUCAGACCUUGACGAACAAAUAUGCUGGACAGUGGCAUGUUUAAAAUAAUCCGACCACUCCGGGGAGGCCACGCAUCUAUCCAAACGCGCUCUAACAUUAGCACUGCCCUGUUGCUUAUUGCUGUAAGUCCACGCCGGUCCUUUAAAACCCAUAUCAAACAUAUUACAGUCAGAUAAAACUUUACGAAAAUUUUCCAUGUUUUUCUCGGAUCUCUUUGAGGAUGAGAAGUGCUCAGAUUGCCACAUGGUUUCAUUAAAGUCUCCCAUCAUCAUCCAGGGAAGGUUACCACUAUCCUUGAUCCUCCUAAGCAGAGUCCACAUAUGAUGUCGCUCGUGUGCUUUUGGUUCCCCGUACACAAAGGUCCCUCUCCAUUGGAGGCCUUGAGGGUUCAAACGGAUCAACACAUCGAUAUAUCUCGCCCCCACGGCAAUCUUCUUUAUUUCCACACUCUCAUCAUAAAAGAGGGCAACGCCAACACCUUUUCCAGUGCUAGGUUGCACGAUACAGUGAUGAAGGCCGAGCCUCCAUUUUAGAUUCCUAACGUAUUUAUUAUUUUGUCGGGUUUCAGAGAGGAAGACGAGCUUGGGCUUGUAGGUGUGCACUAGGCACACGAGUUCCUGAACUGUGCGAGGUUGCCCGAGGCCUCGACAGUUCCAAGCCAAGAUCGUCAUGGCCCCUGGCGGGCGCCAUCCUUAGCGCCCACCAGUGGACCGGGAGCCCCAGGCCCGGUAGCUUCCUUGUCGUCCUUCUUCCCAUCCUCACCCAUGCCUGCAGCACACACUUUCUUGCUCUUGUCCGCUCCAUCAUCUUGGCCUGUAGCCUCUGCAUCCACUGACCCAGCAUUCUCACGGCCACCUCUCUUGCCCAGCACCGAAGUUACCUCACCUGAUUUCUUCUUGUUUAUCUUGCUGUUCCUCACUGCCUUGCUAUUGGUUUGAUAACCUUGGUCUCAUCACUGAGGGAAAUACCUACCGUUGUUGUGCUGCAUCAUCCCUUCCUCUUUGGGGAAAUACCGACGUAGUUCUAGGAGACAUCAAAAGGAAUUUCUGGCGCUGUUGCCGGGGAGACAUCAUCAACAUGAACCAGGUUCCUAAUCACAAAUCUCAUCUGCUUGCAAUUUACAUUAUUUGCCAUUUACCUCUCAUUUUCCUCUCCCCCACUUCACAAAAAUUUGCUGUUUUAUUCGCCCUCUUUUUCGUUCGCCGUUUUCUCGUCAGAUCUGUUUUUGAGUGCAAUCUUGUUGUGUAGUCACCGUGACUCAAGAGAACACCAAGUUGUGGGAUUUCUCAAAUACCAACAGCAAUGAUUUUAUUAGCACCCCGAUUGCUUCUCCUGCCACUAAUGCAGAGUCUUGUGAUAUUAAUACUGCUUUGUUGAAUCUUGUUAUGAAAGAUCAAUUUUUCGGUAGUCCUAAUGAGGAUGCCGCCUCCCAUCUUAACACAUUCGUGGAAUUAUGCGAUAUGAAAAAGAAAAAAGAUGUGGACAAUGAUGUUGUGAAGUUGAAAUUAUUUCCAUUUGUUUUGCGAAAUCACACAAAAAAUUAGUUUUCUUCUUUGCCUCACAAUAGUAUCGAUUCUUGGAAUAAGUGCAAGGAUGCUUUUAUUAGUAAGUAUUUUCCGCCCGCAAAAAUCAUUUCCCUUAGAACCCAGAUCAUGAAUUUCAAGCAGCUUGAACAUGAGCGUGCUGCACAAUCUUGGGAGAGGAUGAAAUUGAUGCUAAGGAAUUGCCCAACUCAUGGGUUAAAUCUUUGGAUGAUCAUACAAAUUUUUUAUGCGGGAUUGAAUUUUGUUUCUCGUAAUCUUUUAGAUUCUGCCACGGGGGUACUUUUAUGGAAAUUACUUUGGGUGAAGCUACUAAAUUACUUGACAAUAUUAUGUCAAAUUAUUCACAAUGGCAUACCGGAAGAGCUCCUACUAGUAAAAAUGUCAAUUCGGUAGAAGAAAUAAAUUCUUUGAGUAAAAAAGUUGAUACUCUUAUGAAGUUGGUUGUUAAUAAAAAUGCUCCUUUUGAUUUUAAUGGUGUUCCUUUGUCUACUUUGAUUGAGCAAAAUAGUGAUGCCAUAGAUGUGAAUUUUAUCUCGCGAAACAAUUUCAAUAGCAAUGCUUAUAGAGGUAAUUUUAAUCCUAGGCCUUUUCCAAUAAUUCCUCUAAUAAUUAUGGUAAUCCUUCUUAUAAUAAUAAUAGGAACACCUCUGAUCUUGAGAAUAAUAUUAAAGAAUUUAUCAAUACUCAAAAAGUUUUCAAUGCUACGAUAGAAGAAAAGGUGAAUAAAGUUGAUGAUAUGUCUAGAAGUAUUGAUAGAAUUUCUCACGAUGUAGAAAUUCUCAAGAUGCAAUUUUUUGUUCCUAAGGUUGAAGAAUCAAUUAAAGAUCUUUAUGUUUCUAUGGAUUAAAGUAAGAAAAAAACCGCUAUGCUUAGAGCUAAAAGAGAAUUUUUAGAAAAAGCGUUUUCUAGUGAUUGCUUUCAUAAAAGUGAUGAAGAUCUUAAAUGAUUGGUGUUUCUUUUAUUGCUUCUUUGUUUAGUAAAAUUAAGAUUGAUGAAAAAUGGACUGGAGAAGAGUCAACUUUAGCUAGAAGGCAUCCUGAUAAUUCGGAGGGUGAAAAUCUUGUUGAGAAAACUGAUAAAAGUGGGUUUGAAGAGAUCAAAACUUUAACUAGUAAUGUAUCCACUCUUUUGUUUCACAAAGACUUUAAUUAUGAUAGUUGCCCUUUGGUGAAUUGUAUUUCUUUGUUGCAAUCCAUGAUAAAUUCACCCCAUGCUUAUGAACAAAACUCUUUUACUAAACAUAUUGUUGAUGCCAUGAUGAAAGAUUUUGAAGAAAAGUUGGAAUUAGAAGUUUCAAUUCCUAGAAAAUUACAUGAUGAAUGGAGUAAAUAGCAUAAAACUACUACUUUACAGGCUAGGGUUCCAAAAAAUUGCCAGUUUUUAAUUUUUCUCAGAUAACUACCAAGUGGGUGGUCGGUUGUUUCAAAAACCGAAAUCCCACGUUGCUAACAUUUUAAGCCGAUUUAUGACAGGUCGGGCCCACUCCUAAACAAUCCGUUAGUUGACCGUUUUGUUUGACCGUUAACUUAUUGUAGGACCCACAUGUAAGAUGUCUCUUCUUCCUCCUACCAUUUCUUCUCUCCUUGUGUCUCUUUCUUUCCCGUCUCCUCCUCCUUGCAAAGGCCCGAGCUCUAGCAUCCACCACUGACUGACGGCCACCCCUACCACGCCCCACGGCCAGGAGCAAGGGCCGGCCGCCGCGAGCCGGCCCCAGGAGCAAACGCUGCUGCAAGCCACCGCACCCAGGGGCAUGGGCCGCCGCGCCCAGGAGCACAGGCUGCCGCGAGCCACGCGCCGUGCCCAGGAGAAGCGGAAGCGGCCGGCAAGGAACUCCGCCUAGGCCCAGCCCGUCAGCCGCCUGGAGAAGCCCCGCCUUUCGCGCCGAGGAAUGUUGUGGCCGAGCAGCCUCCUUCCGCCUGGCCCGCAACCUGGUCGCCGGCACUAUUCCUGUCGCAACGGAAGGGAGCUCCACACGCUGCCCGCGAUGGAAGGGAGCUCCAUGGUGGUGCCAUGGCUGCUGGCCGGCGACCCUCACGUCGGCUGCUGGCGCAUGGCCACGGGAGGGACCUGAUUGCAUUUUGAAAAUUUUGCAGGGACCUGAUGGCAUUCUUGAAAAGUUUACAGACACUGACAUGUGGGACCCACGUGUCAGUUAACGGUCAAACAAAUGGUCAAAUAGACGGAUCGUUUAGGUGUGGGCCCAACCUUUCAUAAACCUGUUUAACUUUUUAACAACGAAGAUUUUGGGUUUUUUGAAACAGCCGACCACCCACUUGGUAGUUAUCUAAGAAAAAAUAAAAACCGGUAGUAUUUAGGAACCCUAGCCUGUAAAGUAGUAGUUUUAUGCUAUUUACUCUAAUGAAUGGGAACCUACCAUCAAAGUCAAGAUUAAGUAUUAUGAGUGUUUUGCUUUAUGUGACCUGGGUACUAGUGUUUCUAGAAUUCCAAAAUCUUUAUGUGAUGGGCUUGGUCUUACCGAUAUUGAAGAAUGCUCUUUAAAUUUGUAGUUGGCAGACUCUACAAUUAAAAAGCCUAUGGGAAGAAUUAAUGAUGUUAUUAUUCUUGCAAAUUGGAAUUACGUGCCCAUAGAUUUUAUUGUUCUUGAUAUUGAUUGCAAUCCGUCUUGUCUAAUUAUACUCGCUAGACCGUUUUUACGUACUAUUGGUGUCGUGAUUGAUAUGAAAGAAGGCAAUAUUAAAUUUCAAUUUCCACUAAGGAAUGGUAUGGAACACUUCCCUAGAACAAGAAUUAGGCCACCAUAUGAAUCAAUCAUGAGGGCAUCGUAUGGAUCUAGAACUAAAAAUGACAACACUUAGAUCCUUUGCAUUAUGCCUAGCUAGGGGCGUAAAACGAAAGCGCUCGUUGGGAGGCAACCCAACUUGUAUCUUUUUGCUUUUUGGUUUUCUUGCUGUUUUCAAUAAAAUACCCAAUUAUGCCUCUGAUUAGAUGUGUUUUCGUGGUUUAAAUUAGUGUUUGUACCAAGUAGGCCCUUUAGGAUGAUUUGGGUGAGAGUUGAUUUGAUCUUGCUGAAAAACAGAAACUUUUGCGCUCACAAAAAUAAUUCCCAUUUUUAAUAGAAGAGUGCUUUUGAGUUGGUUCUUUUUGCAGAAGAUUAAUAUACAACCAUGUUUUCCUACUUUUCAGAAUUUUUGGAGUUACAGAAGUACUCGAAAUAUCCAGAGUUCUACAAACUGUUAUGUUUUUGACAGAUUAUGUUUUCUUUGCAUUGUGUGCUUGUUUUGAUGAUUCUAUGGUUUUCUUUGAAGAGUGUUUUCCAUACAAAAGUUGGAAUACAGUAGAUAAAAUGCAAAAAUAAAAUAUGAAUGGGUUUGCAACAAUACUUGUAGUAGUGGUUUUCUUUCUUGUACUAACGGAUCUCACGAAGGUUUUGUAGAGUUUUGUGUGAUUGAAGUUUUCAAGUUUUGGGUGAUAUUAUGAUGGAUGAAGGAAUAAGGAUUAGCAAAAGGCUAAGCUUGGGGAUGCCCGAGGCACCCCAAGAUAAUAUUCAAGAAGUAUCAAGCAAGUAAGCUUGGGGAUGCCCCCGUGUGGCAUCCCCUCUUUCUUCUAACGAUCAUCGGUAUUUUACUUGGAGCUAUAUUUUUAUUCGUCACAUAUUAUGAAUUUUGCUUGGAGCGUCUUGUAUGAUAUGAGUCUUUCCAUGUUUUGCUUUUUAUUUUAAGUCUUGAAUCCUUGCUGGACACACCUUUUUGAGAGAGCUAAAAAUUAUGCUAUGCUUGCUCCUAUGCUUCACUUAAAUUUUUAGAGCCAUGGAAUGGCUCUAGUGCUUCACUUAUAUCUUUUUGAUCACGGUUUGCUUUGUUAUUUUUUAAGAAAUGCUCUCAUGCUUCACUUAGAUUUAUUUGGAGUUAGUAAUUUUUUUAAGAAAUUCACUCUUGCUUCACUUAAGUUAUUUUGAGAGAAAGAAAUAUUAUGCUCAUGUUCUUCACUUGCAUUUGUUUGAGCUUAUUAAAAGCAACAUAUGAAACUAGUCCCAAAGUGAUAGAUAUCCAAGGAGGAUAUAAUAAAAACAUUCAUGAAGAUCAUUGGACAAAAUAAACUUGGUUCUUUGUAAUGGCUUUGAGAUAUGACGAUAUGAUAUGUGAGUCAUGUUGAUGAGUAAUUAUACUUUAGUAAGUAUAGUGGUGUUAAGGUUUAUGAUUUCCUAUGCAAGCACGAAAGUCAAUAGUUAUGCAAUGAAAUUACAUCCUACUUGUGGUGCAUUAUUCGGUGUUAAUUAUGCUUAAUGCUCGCUUAUGAGAUUUUUCGUUUCUUGGUUGGACGCUUCUCAAUCUUUUUGCUGGCCUUCAUUUGCACUAAGUAUGAUCACUACUUGUGCAUCCAAAACCCUUUAAACCAGUUUUGCCAUAUGAGUCCACUAUACCUACGUAUAUGCGGUAUUUCCGUGCCGUUCUAAGCAAAUUUGUAUGUGCCAUGUCUAAUUUUCAAAAUAAAUUUCUCUUUUGUGUGCUCGUACCGCUCGGGGCGGUGAGGGGUGGCCGAUAUUUCCAUGGUAGAUGUGUUAUUCUCAUGAUGAGUGUUUAUUCACUUGUCAUUGCACGAGAGUACGACAAAGGUAUUAGGGAUGCAUAGUCCCGAAAUGAAAAAUGAAUUUACUUUAUGUUGUCAAAUAAUAAAUUCCUAGGAAAGUGUUCGUAUGGAGGGCACCCGUGGAUACGGUUAGCCAUGGAAAGUGAAAGUAUGAUGGAGAAAGGAAUAAACUUUAUUUUUUGUUUGGGAGCUGCCUAUGAUGUAUCUAGCAUGGAAAGUGUUGGGAGCUCUAAGUCGUUUUCGUUGGUGGGAAAAGUAUGCCUCCCAAAAUGUUUUAUCUCUCAAUUUUUGCUUUAAGCUCUCGCACCUCUAUAAAUAGCUACUUCCCUUCGUGAAGGGCCUUUCUUUUACUUUAUGCAAAUUUUUUUACUUGAGUCUCCAUCUUCUCUUUAUAAAGCACCAACUAAGGGGCCCUAUGAUUGUACUUGAGCAUUGGGUAUAGCUAGUAUUCGAGUGUGUUUCAUGAAUGGGUCAAUGAUUGAGCAUACUAGGCUAGGGAUAACUUGCUUUAGCGUUGAUAUUUUGAAAGACAUGGUUGCUUGUUGAUAUGCUUGAGUAUUAAAGUCUUCAUGUCAAAAGUAGACUAUUGCUUUGAAUCAUAUAAAAGUCUGUUUUUAUCAUUUAACUACAAAGAAAAGAAUAUCUGAUGAACAUGUUAGGCAGCAUUCCACAUCAAAAAUUCUGUUUUUAUCAUUUAAAUACUCGAGGACGAGCAGGAAUUAAGCUUGGGGAUGUUGAUACGUCUCCAACGUAUCUAUAUUUUUUGAUUGUUCCAUGUUGUUAUAUUAUCAUUCUGGGAUGUUUUACAAUCAUUUUUGGCACUAACCUAUUGACAUAAUGCCUAGUGCGAGUUGCUGUUUUCAUCGCAUGCAAUCAAUACCAAGCGGAGUCCAAAUGCAGCGAAACUUUUUGUGGAUUUUUUCUGGACCAAAAGACACAAGAUGGGCCGAAGAAGUACCAGAGAGGUGCCCCGAGGGGGCCACAACCCACCACGGCGCGCCUAGGGGCCCAGGCAUGCCUAGGUGGGUUAUGCCCACCUUGGUGGCCUCCCGCACCACCUCUUUGCUCUAUAAAUACCCCAAUAUUCCAGAAAACCUAGGGAAGCCAACGAAAUUCAAUUCUAGCCACCGCAAGUUCCAGAACCACCAUAUCCAACCUAAACACCAUCAUGGAGGGGUUCAUCAUCCUCAUUGGUGCCUCUUCGAUGAUGCGUGAGCGUGAGUAGUUCAUUCUAGACCUACGGGUCCGUAGUUAGUAGCUUGAUGGCUUCCUCUCUCUCUCUCUCUCUCUCUCUCUCUCUCUCUCUCUCUCUCUCUCUCUCUCUCUCUCUCUCUCUUGCUUCUCAAUAUAAUGGUCUCUUGGAGAUCCAUAUGAUGUAACUCUUUUUGCGGUGUGUUUGUUGGGAUGCGAUGAACUUUGUGUUUAUGAUCAGAUCUAUGUUUUUAUCCAUGAAAGUUAUUUGAGUCUUCUUUGAUUUCUUAUAUGCAUGAUUGCUUAUAGCCUCGUAUUUCUUCACCGAUAUCUGGUUUUUGUUUGGCCAACUUAAUCUAUUUAUCUUGCAAUGGGAAGAGGUGCUUUGUGAUGGGUUCGAUCUUACGGUGCUUGAUCCCAAUGACAGAAGGGGAAUCGACACGUAUAUAUCGUUGCUAUUAAGGAUAACAAGAUGGGGUCUAUUUCUACAUAAAUAGAUCUUGUCUACAUCAUGUCAUCGUUCUUAUUGCAUUACUCCGUUUUUCCAUGAACUUAAUACACUAGAUGCAUGCCGGAUAGCGGUCGAUGUGGGAGUAAUGUAGAUGCAGGCAGGAGUCAGUCUACUAAUCUUGGAUGUGAUGCCUAUAUAAUGAUCAUUGCCUGGAUAUCGUCAUGAGUAUUUGAAGUUCUAUCAAUUGCCCAACAGUAAUUUGUUUAUCCACAUUUUUUAUUUUUCUCGAGAAAAGCCACUAUUGAAACGUACGACCCCUGGGUCUCUUCUUUAUUAUAUUUUCCUUUGAAAUUUAUUUUCUUUUGCUUUUAUUUUUAGAUCGAUUAAUCCAAAAAUACAAAAAUACCUUUCUGCAAUUUUUAGUAAUUUAUUUUAUCUCGCGUUCCCGCAAGAUCUAUUUAUCAAAUCUACUACGGUUUUAUCUAUCUUUUUACCCGUGAGGGAUUGACAACCCCUCUCUUACAUCGGGUUGCAAGUAUUUGUUCUUUGUGUGCAGGAGUUGUUUAUGUGGUGUUGUGUGGUUCUCUUACUGGUUCAAUAACCUUGGUCUCAUAGUGAGGGAAAUACCUACCGUUGUUGUGCUGCAUCAUCCCUUCCUCUUUGGGGAAAUACCGAUGUAGUUCUAGCAGACAUCACUCGACUACAAUGUCUACCAAGAUUCCCACUUCGGUUUUCUCCUCCUCGGCCAUAAUCAGCGAAUAGGGAGAAUUGAGCCUUGCCAACGAGAAGGGGGGAAGACCAGUCGACGAGCCAGGGGAUGGAAUGUUGUUAUAGUAAAACUAGGUCGACUGCAAGCCCCGAACAGACUCAGGAAAAGUUAUUGCAGGGAACGCACUCCUACCUCACAUCUGGACACCUAAGCCCCCACACAUCUGGAUCACAUGGGUCCUCUCAUCACUCAGAUUUGCUCUCUUGGCCGACUGGGACCGGCAAGUGAAGAUAUGUUUGAACAACCCCUAGUGGGGAUGACAACCCAAGAAUUUUUGACACAUCGAGACGAAGGCGGCAAGAUACGAUAUGGCAUUUGAGGGAAAGUGGUGGAUUUGUGCGUCGAAGAAAUUCAGAAAUCCUCGAAAAAACAGAUGAGGAGGCAAGGAGAAACCUCUUUCCACACGAGUGAGGAGGAGGACCCGCUCGCUGGGGCACGGCGCAGGCUCGACCUCUCCCUCUGGUGGCCUCCAAGAUCCGGGACCAACAGGCCGUCGGCGGUGAGCCUGUCUAGGUCCUCCACCGUGACCGUCGACGGUAGCCAGUCGCCCUGGAUCCAGCCUGGUGGCAGCGCGGCCCGGGAGCUCGAAGCCUUCUUCCCCUUGACCGCCUUCUUGGCGCGCUCCAGCUUCGCUGUCUUGUCCUUCGCCAUCUCCAUGGUGGUCGUCAGCGUCGAGCAGCGCAGCGGUGGAAGAGGAGGAGAGGCGAGCGGAAGGGGGAAAAAGGAGAGCACUGUUUUGCGCGCUCUUCGGUCACGUCGCCUCUUAUAACUUCACAUCCAAGUCAUUGACAACUGGGCCCGCGAGAUCCUGGCGCAUCCUAUUGAGCAAAGACUACGUAGUACGUGGCGAAAAAGGUGGAGCAAAAAUUGAGGAGUCCCUCCCCACUUGCCCCACUUACCGUGCCGUUGCCGAUCAUCAUGCUUCUCCAAAAAUUUGAAUCCCGUAGAAUCCGGGCGUGAUAGAACGAUCGUUUGCGUCGAAAGAUCGCCUUGAUCACUUGGGUCCGACCCGACACUCGGGAUCACAUGGUCACAUAUCAAGCCAGAAUCGGCCGAGGCGAUUGAUAAAGAAUUAAAGCACCGCAGGUGUCUGCAGGACUCUGAAGCGCAUCCGAAGCACCGAGUCUAGCCAGAACCCGCACCAAUCCUUUCAUUCAAACCCCGAUCCAUUCGGGGGCUAAUGAUGACGACAUGUAGCCAGGGUAGGGUCACAUGUCUGACCUACAUACCCUACCCAAAGGCAUUAUAUACAGGAAGUCAAGACCUACAAAGUUAGAAAGGAGACACCGACUGGAAUGACCGCAACAUACAAGUCACUCGAACACAGGAUCCACUCGAAAGUUUCCCCAUCACUCGACUGUCCCUGUUUCACUCAGAGUUUCAAGCACCACUAGAAGGAAGAAGACAUAGAGUCACCCUGGGAUGGCAACCGUCGGACGAUCAGUUCAUCACCGUAAAGAGCACCAAAUGCAGACGUUACCAGUAAUGCUCGGCCCUUUACUUCUCCAUCGAACCCUUGGGUAAUGGGCAUUCAUGAGGGGCCAGAGGACUCUAUGUAAGCCAGAGCUGCUUAGCGUGGAGCCAUCGGAGCCACCGGGUUUUCGUCUCUGCCUCAAUCAAUGAAAGGCAGCACGCCCACUCGAAGAGAUGGUCCUCCUUGUUGGGCACCCGACGACGGCAGGCGGACUGCGCAGACCCGUUGGACCCGCCCAUCAUCUCCCUUGUCCUCUGCCUCUCGCGGCUGGCAGCUUGUGCCUCCGACUCCGGAGAACGAAUCCGCGAUGUCGGCUGAGCAUGCACUAGAACCCAGUGCUGCCCGCACGGAGAAGCGGUCGGAGGUGGGGGAGACCGUCGGGCGGGAGGAGUAGAUUGGACAUGCCUCGCAGAUCCGCACGCGGGGCGGGAAAGGCCGGCGCCAGCAAUGGCGCUGCCACAACGGGCGACAGGUGGCAUCGCACCGGAGCCGGAGCUGCCGCCUAUAUCGACCCACGAGCGCUCAAGUGCGAUAUGGAGCACCAGCUCCUUGUCUCCGGAGCUGCCGUCGGAGUGGCUGUCGGUGCUGGACAUGCUCGCCGGUGGUAGGGAUUUGGCGGAUUGGGAAAAUGGGAGCGCCGGGGAGGGGAGCGGAGUGGAGCGCGGUGAGCUAGGAUUUGUGUCGGACGGGGUUUUUGUGGGGUCGGAGUGGACCAGCGAUGGGCCGGGCUGAUGUGGCGGACAAGCCCGGGCGUGCCCAUGCCGCCUCAUAUCCGCCCUACAUUUGGGACAGAUAUGAGGGGUGCCAGUCAGCCCGGGCAUUUGAGGCCCAUCUGAAAGGUCCGGUUGGGUCGGUUUUUUGUGACCGGACAGCCUACCCGGACGUUUGAGACGGAUAUAGGGCGCCCGGUUGUAGAUGCUCUUACGUUGGCACUUUGGCUAGGAAUGUAAUUCAUUCUUCUGGAGCGGUGUGGUAAAUGUUGACCUGUAGGAAGGAUGAUGGUGAUGUCUACGUAGGUAACUGAAAAAUAUACUCCCUUCAUCCGGAAAUACUUGUGAUUAAAAUGGAUAAAAGAAAAUGUAUCUAGAUGUAUUUUAGUUCUAGAUACAUAUCUUUUUGUUUAUUUUGAUGACAAAUAUUUUUGAACGGAGGGAGUACUUGUUAAUGAUCAAGGAUGUCCUCUAGGUCCAACUAAUCAACUCUAGAAUGUGCCUUACCUCAUACAGUACAUGCUAUUUUCUAUCAAAAGCACGCUAUGAACGGCCAUCGUGUAGUUUCAACCCAUGCUGCCAUCAAAUUGCGUACUACUCCAUGCGUUCCGAUUUACUCGUCGUGAUUUUAGUUUAAAUUUGAACUAGAACCACGGCGAGUAAAUCGGAACGGAGGGAGUACAAGUUUACAACUUGUCUUUUGCUUGUUCAUGUUGCCUGAGCUGCGAGUGGGGUGUUGGUUAGGCACUGCCACUUUGGCGGCCUUCUAGACUUCUAGUAUUCGUUCACUGAUGAUUCGAUGGGAGGUAUAUGGAACGUCUCUAAUUUGAUGAACUAUUGCCUCUAGGAAGGUUGACUAGAAGGUUUGCUCAAGAGAGAGCAGCUCCACCUAACAGAUACAGUUGAUGCGGUGAGGUGUUCUUCUGCAUUCUAUUACACUGUUUCCUUUGAGGCCGAAUCAGGAAGUACUUAUGCCUGAACCAACAUCUCAAACUUUUUUGAUGUUGCACUUGUUUGUGAAUGUGCACAUUUUAUAUUUUAGUGACACAUUUGAAAAACAAAUGUGAUUUUCCUUGCGCACAAGGCUGAGCAAGUAUAUAUGGUCAAACAUCCAGUAUUACAGUAACCGUUCCCUUUUAGUAUUUGCAUGGAGCCAUGAAUUCUCAUCAUAGAAAAGGUGUACUGGGAUCAUGGCCAUACAACUAGCUAGUAUCAUGCUACUGUCCAGUAUUUCGGAAUGAGUGGUCUACCAUGGGCAUGAAAUAUUUUUACUAGGAUUCGGGGCUACAAAUGAAACUGCUCAAGCUAGUGUGCUCACUGCCACGGUGCAGCUAAUAUCUUUUGCGGAUUUCUGUUACAAGCAUGCACGAAACAGGAAACGUGUGUUGUGCAGUUGAACUCUUUUAGUAGUCUAGGCCUUCCAAAUGCAUAACUGCAUUGGGGAUCUACAAAUAUCACUUGUGUAAAACUCUGAGGACACCGAUUUUGUUAAAACAUACCUUCCCUGUAAGGUCAGUAUGCAUACAAAGCUGUACUGCAAAGCAAACUUGAGUACAACUUGUCUCUUUCAUCCAUCUGCAGGGUCACAUGGUACUGUGAUCAUAUCAUUUGGAUGUUACUAGCACACUUUCCCUCCAUCUAUGCAAGUGGUAACAUGGUAUGCCGCGUUGAUGGGACGUCGAAAAUCGCAGCAUGAUCCGAUCGAUAUUUUUGAGCCAUUGGCAUUUUUUCGCUGGCACGUCAACUCGGAACUUUCUGUAAUUUGUUUUACCUACUUGUCGCGAUGAAAAAUCUUCCAGAAGCUUUUGAAUUCCGGUAGCUGUUUUUUCACUAGCGGACUAAACCUAUCAUGCACAUCGGUCCUUGCAGACGCGGAAGGUGUACCCGUGUGACGACCUGAGGUCGGAGCUCGGCGACAGGUCGUAGAGGGAUCACCGGACCAAUUCGCCUGUUCAGGUCAUGUUUCUGGGUAAAUUGAAAAUCUUCCGCUCUUCCACUACUGGAGCUUGCAUCUUGAUGGAUGAUUCUUCCUUCAUCUCUUGUUGUUAGAUCAUCAAUAACCAGACUCGUGAAACGCUCCCUAUAAGUCCGAGCGGACAGCCUGAUAGUGAUCGGUCACAAAAUCUCAACCCAGCCGCACCCCUCAUAUCUAGAUUGGUCAUUGUCUGUGAAUCCGCCCGGGCGCGUCCACGGACGUCUAGGGGGACGGAUUUGCUAAGUCCGGUUAUAGAUGCUUUUGCAAGCCAACACGCCAAACCUCAUCAUCUCAUAGAUCUGCGGCGAUCUUCACCGCCGAUAACUCACAGCUCACGGGCGGCGCUGCAUGCACGGAGAGACAUUCUAGGUCAAGUGAAGCGUAAUCGCUGUAGACGGGGCGGCGCUGCUGGUGUUUCUGAAUGAAAACGACGUGACGGGGGCAAUAAUACGGGCGACGGUGUCAGCUGGGGCGGGGUGCGCGGUUUGGCCCGGCGUCUGCGGGUCGCUGUGUAACGUGCCCUGGCAAUGGGUUGGUUUCGGAGCUUAGCCGAGGCCGCGACGCAAGUGGUCGCUGUGGGCAUGAUGAGACCAAAAGCGCCAUUGAUUUGCCCUUGGUCUCAUCCAUCCCUGCUCGCCCGUUGCGUGUGCGUACAAAAACACGUAUAGCUGGUCCAUGGAGCCCGAUGCGUUGGGCGAUUUGGCCGGUUGUAGCUAGGGCUACGGCUUUGGUCUCUUGCAACCGGCAGCUAGCUGGCUAGACCUGCUUGGCUUUGGCUUGUGUAACAAACUACCAACUGGCCGGGUCAGCUAGCCAGCCAGUCAUAGGAACAUCAUGCGGAGGAUUAAGCUAGCUAGCUGGUUUGCGUAUGGUGUAGGAUGCACUGCAGCUGGUUGCUUGCACAAGGCCACAAGGCCACAACCACAACCAUACCCAUUCAUCUAUCACCCAUAUCAGUGGCCCAUAUGCAUGUAUGGCCGCUCUGAUUAGCUUCAUCAGGGUGUGGUUGCACUCUGCUAAGCUUACUUCCCUCUGGGGUCAACUGUUACUACACAUGCAUAUAUGUGCCACUCUGCAUACGAUCAGCUCACCGUUUCACUGCAUGCAUGUUAUUACAGCUCGUGCUUACACUUUCCUGAGCACCUAAUUGACUUCUGUUAUGGCUUGAGCUAUCUCCCAUGCAUGUGUAAAGACACAAAACGUACACAUGGGAGUAUCUACAUAUUUGAGAUUUCGGUGCACAUAUGGACGAUGCGAUGUGAGCCACGUAUUCCUGUCCUUCACUAGGUUCCAACGGGGCUCUUAAUGUGCCAGCUAGGAGUGGUGUGACCCCCUUCUUCACAUGCAUGCAUGCAUGCAUGCAAGGCCCAUGCAGCGCAGGGUACCCUACACCGGCCGUCACCAACCAAAUCACAUGCGUGCGUGAUACACAUAUACACGCCGUCUCCGGCCGGGCUAUAUAAACCACCCACACCUUGCUAGCUUCCUUCAUUAGACCUACUAAACCCUCCUAGCUCACUCUCGCCAGCACUAGCUAGCUAGCUUAGCCGGCAGCAAUGGCGUCCAGGACCUCGGCGGCGUGCCUGCUGGCGCUGCUGGUGGCCAGCACGUUCCUGGCCGGCGACGCGUGCAACAGCUGCAAGCACCACACCCCUCCCCCGGCGUCCCCGUCCCCGCCCCCGCCAGCGCCUGCUACCCCGACGCCAUGCCCGCCACCGCCGUCAUCGGGCGGCACGGGGUACUGCCCCACGGACACACUGAAGCUGGGCGCCUGCGCCAACGUGCUGGGCCUAGUGAGCGCGGGCGUCGGCACCGCCCCCAGCGGCGGCGGCGACAAGUGCUGCAGCCUCCUCGGCGGCCUGGCCGACCUUGAGGCCGCCGUGUGCCUCUGCACCGCGCUCAAGGCCAACGUCCUCGGCAUCGUCCUCAACAUCCCCAUCAAGCUCAGCCUCCUCCUCAACUACUGCGGCAAGACCGCCCCCAAGGGCUUCCAGUGCGCUUAAUUCAUCAGCAAAUCGUCCAUCACUCAGCGCAUGCAUGCAUCGUCAGUGCAUCCGUUAUUUUAGUUGUUCAUUCCAAAUUUGAUUUCAUCAUGCAAUAAUAUAUCGGUCGGUUGUUAAGUAGUUUUUCUUGCGUGUGUUAAUUUAUAUGCACUGGUUUGGUGAGAUUAAUUUGUCUUAGUUUGGCUGUGUCGUACUACAAGAGAUACAUACGAUUGGGUGUGCGUGUGUGAAUGAACAGUAAUUUGAUUAAGCAUGUGUAACACUUGUAUUUGUUUGAUGAAAUGUAAUUUGCAGAAUAUUCAUUCAUUAGUCGCUGCGGAUUUCCAAUAGCAUUUAUCUGUUAUGUACAUUACGUGGUACUCCAACACAAGCUUAUUUCAUUUCAUGAAUGAAUUUGAUGCCGGUUUCAUCCUUUUGUCCGAAAAGCACAAUAAGCUUGUUUGAUGCAAGUGUAUGUCCAAUGGGAUGUUGAAUGGUCGUGGCCCAUGUCCUGGAGAAGAUAGUGUAUAUGUAGUACGGUAUCAGCUUCUUUUUUUGAAUAGUCUGGAUUGCUUAUCGCUAGUAUGUACCAAUGCAAGUUCCAAGAUGUGAUUCAUUUCCCCCUUUUUUUAGAAAUAGUUCAUAUUUAGAAGAUUUUGGGAAAAGUUUGCCAUGAAAGAAGAUGGGCUGGCAGGGAUGAAUUUUGUCGCCCAUGUUUACAUGUGGCCCACUUGUUGGAUGCACUACCAAGUUUAAAAUGUCAAAUCAAAAUAUAUGUGAUCCAUAUUAACUAGGAGUAACAAAAUUUCUCCAUUUUUUCCUAACACCAUUCAACACCCAAAAUUUAUAUUGUUUGAUUUAUGAAUCAAUAUGAAAAUAUACUUCAUGAUAGUUAGUACUGGUAACAAUAUUUCUCCAUUUUUGUACUAUUAACAUAUAGUACUCCAUUCAACAUCCAAACUGUAAGGGCUACUUUGCUUCAAGGGAAAUCUAAAGGAUUUUUGAAGGAUUGAAAUCCACAGGAUUUUUCAUACAUUGGUCCUUUAAUUCAUAGGAUUGGAUCCCAUAGGAAUUUUUCCUAUGCAAUCCUUUUUACUAUGUUUCAUAGGAAAUCUAACAGCCACUCCAACAUCUUUUUUACCAUUCCCAUGUUUUAAAAAUCCUGCGAAUCAAAGAGGCCCUAACUAGUUUUAUUAUACUAACAUGAUCACUGCAUGUAUGACAAAGUUACUUGAUUAAUUUCUUGUGGCGUAGUCUAAAUCCCGUAUAGAAGAUCGUGUAUACCAUCUUUUGGAGAUGCUCUUACUCGGGUAUGAUCUAAGGUGGAGUUUCUGUCAGAUAAGCCCUUGAGCUAGAUCCUAACUAUGCUACACUAUGCCCUGCUAGACUAAAGAUAUACCAAAUGCAGUUAUUCAUUGAAUUUAAUGCAUAUGAAGGCAUGCAAACAAGCAAUUGAAGGGCCGGAAAGCCAAAUUUACCCUUUCAAUUUAUGUAGAAAAUUGGCUUAAUUACUUCACAAAUUCGUUACUCUUUUUGCAUGUAUCGCUGAUUAAUUUCCACUGAUCGUGGAUCCAAGGAUAUGAACAUCCAGAAAAUGGAGUGCACAGACCACAGGAGGAUUACAUCAGUCAAAUUCGGUGAGAUCGGAGAGAUAAAACACAAAAUGUACCUAGGUUCAGACCCUGGCAUGUCCUUCCUUUUAAUCUUUGCUGCAAUAUGUCAAGAACAGCGUCAAACUGAGCAACGUGAUGCAUCGGUGUUUGUUGCAAACGUCAAUACAAUAGAUUUUUUUCUUUUUCUUUUUUGCAAAAAAGAGGAACUAACGACUUUAGGUGACAUAUGUGUGCAAGUUGUGACUUUUACGCUAUGAACUACUCCCUCUGUCCCAAAAUGUAAGACGUUUUUGAGGCUUAGACUAAGUCUCAAAAACGUCUUACAUUUUGGGACGGAGGGAGUAGUUUUUAAUACUAUACGCUUGUAUAGCAACCUCUGAUGUAGUAUGAGGCAAAAGCAAGGGGUAUCCGCUGGAUUGAAUACCGUAUGGGAAUCAUACGCUCAAGAGUCGUACGCAGAGUACUUUACUUUCAUACUCAUAUAAAGAUAUAGCUCAAUCUCCUCUCCGCCACCGACAAAUAGUACCACUUCGGGCAGGUUAUGAUCGCUUACUAUGCAAGGUGCUAUGAAGGGGCCGGUAAUCAUUUCUGUCAAGGAGCCCAUCAUUCAGAUUGAAAAAUGUGGGUUAUGUAGGUAUAGUAUACCUGUUAUAUAUUCCUUUCCCUGUAUAUAAAUUCCGUUGUAAGCGUGCAUACAAACUCCGCUCCGUGGCCGGCAUAAACUACAAGAAGAUGAUCACACUCACCCCAUAUCUUUUCCAACACAUGAAUGGCCAUCGCCAUGCCGGUGAAGGUGACCUUUGCAGUUUCCAGGCCGGCGCGGCGAGAUGGGUGGUGCUGCGAGACGUCUUUGCCUUUCACCUCUCUGGCGUCGGUCGUGGUGACCCUCCUGCCGGGGAAGCCAACAAAACCCGAGCGCUCACGGGCGGCGCAUCCUUACAAAUCACCCGUACCAGCCAGCCAGCUGCUGCCUUUCCCUGCCUCUGACCCUGACCAGGAUCGGCACCAGCCACUUGCAUUCUAGUGCAAUUGCAACGUGAAUUGCUGGGUGGAUCCAUCGGCCGGCACCAACCGUAUCAUGCAUGCAUGUUGCUUGACUGACCGCCAUUUUCGUGUCCCAUCAUUAUACAUACAUGCAUGCAUGUGACGCGUUUUCACUCUACUGUUGCACGAUAAGACGGCCCAUGAUGAAAUUUCAUUAGAAGGAAAGAAGAAAGACGUACUCCCUCCGUAAACUAAUAUAAGAGCGUUUAGAUAACUAUUUUUAGUGAUCUAAACGCUUUUAUAUUAGUUUACAGAGGAAGUACUAUGUAUUGUUUGCCGUACGUUGUAGUACGCAGAGUAACAAAAAGCCUCCCACCAGCAUUUGUAAAAAAAAUCUUCGGCUCGCCUCCGCCCGCGACCUCACGGCCAUCUAUGUCAUCACCGGCUCCGGCUCGGCCUCAUUGGCGAGCCUAUAUGCUCUCAUGUCUCAGGCUCGAGCCUUCGCCCCUCUCUCAAAUGAAAUCGACUGACACAAUUUCCAAACACACUCAACUAAGAUUUAUCAACACCUUUAAUGAAAUCAUUUUACAAUUGUCAACAUGCUAAUUGCGUUGAGAUUUGCCUACUACUUUUGUAUUGUGCUUUUACGGUUAAACUCUUAAUUUAACUAGUAACUUAUGCUUCUUUAGAUUCCUUAAAUCGGUUGAAUGGUAUUGACAGUCUUGACCAAAAUGAUGACUCCAUUUGCAAAGCAAAUCUCUUAGCAUGCUCGAUUAACAACAUCGUUCAAGCAUGACACGUUGCGUGCAUGGACAAGUUAUGGGAAGAUCAAUGCUCCUUAAUAUUGGUCAAACAUUUAUAAGUUUUGCCUGGUUAAGAACAGAUGCAUCUUAUAUUCUGAAACGGAGUGAGGAUUCCGCAUGGGGCUCGGUGGCCUGGUGACAACCAACCAACAGAUGCCGCGUCAUUCGGUAAUAACCUAUCCGUAACAAUGAAAUGAAAUCCGAAGGUGUAGCAUCACUGCAAUAUGUAUCUACGUCGUAUAUACGCAUACAGGGUCAACACGCAGAUCUUUGUCCCAUCAUCUUUGACCUUGACCGUGACCGUGACGUGGACUAUAUGCAGCGCAUGUAGGGUCGAUCGACAUGCAGAUCUUUUUGGUACUUCGUCUUUGACCGUGACACGUGCAUGUCGACCAAAUGUUUUAGUGCGUAUCACAUGCUUGCAGAUAUAGGAACAAAAACUAUACGUCUGCGAUGUUUGGUGUCUUCUGUCCGAAGGAGCGUACGGAUGGGACGGUUUCGUGGCUUGCUGUGUGCAUGGCUCACACUGCUGCCGAUCCCACUGCAGAGCCUCGUCAUUUUCCGGCUGCACUGGGUAUUCCUCAUUGGCAUGAUGCAAUGGAACAAGAGUUUCAGGCCCUCCAAAAGAAUGAUACUUGGCAUCUUGUUCCUCCAGUGUCUGGCGUCAACGUCAUUGAUUUCAAGUGGGUUUUCAAAGUCAAGAGACAUGCUGAUGACUCCAUUGAACGCUACAAGGCACGGUUAGUUGCCAAGGUCUUGAAACAGAGGUAUGGUCUUGAUUAUGAAGACACUUUCAGUCCAGUCAUCAAGCCUACUACCAUUCGAUUAAUACUAUCUCUUGCGGUUACUCGCGGAUGGUUCCUUCGUCAGCUUGAUGUGCAGAAUGCUUUUCUACAUGGCAUUCUGGAGGAGGAGGUUUAUAUGCGUCAACCACCUGGUUUUGUUGACCUGACAUGACCUCAUCAUCUCUGUCGUCUGGUUAAGGCACUAUAUGGACUCAAACAGGCUCCUUGUGCAUGGCAUGCUCGCCUUGGAUCUGUUCUUCUGGCUCUUGGGUUUACUCCCCCCACUGCUGAUACGUCACUGUUUCUCCUCCAGCGCCCUGAGGUUACGAUGUAUCUCUUGGUUUAUGUUGAUGAUAUCAUCCUCAUCAGUUCCUCUACUGCUGCUGCUGAUCGCCUUGUGAUUGCUCUCCGUGAUGAUUUUGCUGUCAAAGAUUUAGGUUCUCUUCACUUUUUCCUUGGUCUUGAGGUUUCAUGGUCCUCUGCUGGUUUGACUCUCACUCAGAAAAAGUACUCCUUGGACUUGUUGCGUCGUGCUAGAAUGCUCAAAUGCAAACAUGUUAACACUCCGAUGUCUGCCACUGAUUAGUUGUCUGCUCUUGAUGGUGACUCUCUCUCUCGUCUGAUGAUGCUACUGAGUAUCGCAGUCUCAUUGGUGGUCUGCAAUACCUUACUAUUACCAGGCCUGAUAUCUCCUAUGCAGUCAACCGUGUCUGUCAGUUUCUGCAUGCACCCAGGACGUCUCACUGGUCAACUGUGAAGCGUAUUUUGCGCUAUUUCAAUUUUACUGCCUCCUAUGGUUUGCUUCUUCAGUCUGCACCGUCGUAUGAGCUCUCAGCUUUCUCUGAUGCAGAUUGGGCUGGUAGUCCGGAUGACAGGCGAUCCACAGGGGGUUAUGCGGUAUUUCUGGGUCCUAACUUGAUCGCCUGGAAUGCUCGCAAGCAAGCAACAAUGUCUCACAGUAGUACUGAGGCUGAGUACAAAGUUGUUGCUGAUGCGACUGCUGAGAUCAUAUGGGUACAGUCUCCGUUGAGAGAGUUGCGUGUUCCUCAAGCUCGUCCUCCGGUCCUAUGGUGUGACAACAUUGGUGCUACAUAUCUUUCUUCUAAUCCGGUGUUUCAUGCUAGGACAAAACACAUUGAGGUGGAUUAACACUUUGUUUAGGAACAUGUUGCACACAAGCUACUCUGUAUCAAGUUCAUCUCAUCAAAGGAUCAACUUGCUGACAUCUUCACGAACCCUCUUCCAUAACCAUAGUUUGUAGGAUGUAGGCGCAAUCUUAACUUGCUUUGUAUUUCAGGACAUAGUUAAGAUUGAGGAAGGGUGUUAGACUGUAUAUACGUAGCCUCUGUAUAGGAUGUAGGCGCAAUCUUAACUUGCUUUGUAUUUCAGGACAUAGUUAAGAUUGAGGAAGGGUGUUAGACUGUAUAUACGUAGCCUCUGUAUAUACAGUGUAUAUACAGAGGCUACGUAUAUACAGUCUAACACCCUUCCUCAAUCUACUGUAUAUACAGAGGCUACGUAUAUACAGUCUAACACCCUUCCUCAAUCUUAACUAUGUCCUGAAAUACAAAGCAAGUUAAGAUUGCGCCUACAUCCUACAAACUAUGGUUGUGGAAGAGGGUUCGUGAAGAUGUCAGCAAGUUGAUCCUUUGAUGAGAUGAACUUGAUACAGAGUAGCUUGUGUGCAACAUGUUCCCAAACAAAGUGUUAAUCCACCUCAAUGUGUUUUGUCCUAGCAUGAAACACCGGAUUAGAAAAAAGAUAUGUAGCACCAAUGUUGUCACACCAUAGGACCGGAGGACGAGCUUGAGGAACACGCAACUCUCUCAACGGAGACUGUACCCAUAUGAUCUCAGCAGUCGCAUCAGCAACAGCUUUGUACUCAGCCUCAGUACUACUGUGAGACAUUGUUGCUUGCUUGCGAGCAUUCCAGGCGAUCAAGUUAGGACCCAGAAAUACCGCAUAACCCCCCGUGGAUCGCCUGUCAUCCGGACUACCAGCCCAAUCUGCAUCAGAGAAAGCUGAGAGCUCAUACGACGGUGCAGACUGAAGAAGCAAACGAUAGGAGGCAGUAAAAUUGACAUGGCGCAAAAUACGCUUCACAGUUGACCAGUGAGACGUCCUGGGUGCAUGCAGAAACUGGCAGACACGGUUGACUGCAUAGGAGAUAUCAAGCCUGGUAAUAGUAAGGUAUUGCAGACCACCAAUGAGACUGCGAUACUCAGUAGCAUCAUCAGACGAGAGAGAGAGUCACCAUCAAGAGCAGACAACUAAUCAGUGGCAGACAUCGGAGUGUUAACAUGUUUGCAUUUGAGCAUUCUAGCACGACGCAACAAGUCCAAGGAGUACUUUUUCUGAGUGAGAGUCAAACCAGCAGAGGACCAUGAAACCUCAAGACCAAGGAAAAAGUGAAGAGAACCCAAAUCUUUGACAGCAAAAUCAUCACGGAGAGCAAUCACAAGGCGAUCAGCAGCAGCAGUAGAGGAACUGAUGAGGAUGAUAUCAUCAACAUAAACCAAGAGAUACAUCAUAACCUCAGGGCGCUGGAGGAGAAACAGUGACGUAUCAGCAGUGGGGGAGUAAACCCAAGAGCCAGAAGAACAGAUCCAAGGCGAGCAUGCCAUGCACAAGGAGCCUGUUUGAGUCCAUAUAGUGCCUUAACCAGACGACAGAGAUGAUGAGGUCAUGUCAGAUCAACAAAACCAGGUGGUUGACGCAUAUAAACCUCCUCCUCCAGAAUGCCAUGUAGAAAAGCAUUCUGCACAUCAAGCUGACGAAGGAACCAUCCGCGAGUAACCGCAAGAGAUAGUAUUAAUUGAAUGGUAGUAGGCUUGAUGACUGGACUGAAAGUGUCUUCAUAAUCAAGACCAUACCUCUGUUUCAAGACCUUGGCAACUAACCGUGCCUUGUAGCGUUCAAUGGAGUCAUGGGCAUGUCUCUUGACUUUGAAAACCCACUUGGAAUCAAUGACAUUGACGCCAGACACUGGAGGAACAAGAUGCCAAGUAUCAUUCUUUUGGAGGGCCUGAAACUCUUGUUCCAUUGCAUCAUGCCAAUGAGGAAUACUCAGUGCAGCCUGAAAAUGAUGAGGCUCUGAAGUGGGAUCGGCAGCAGUGUGAGCCAUGCACGCAGCAAGCCACGAAACCGUCCCAUCCGUAAGAAGACACCAGACUGGCUCCGUGUGCGAGGACGAAGAAUGACAGCAGGUUCUGCUAGCAAGGUCGGUGCAGCAGAGGAUGUUGGUGAGGCCUGCACCGAGUAGGGCGAGUCGGGCUCACCGGUGACCGGAACAGGGCUGGUCGGCGACCCUGGCGCCAAAGCAGACCCGGCCAAAGCAGGUGACGGGGCCUCCGGGCCAGUGACAGCAGCAGCCGGCCCGGGCGAGAGACCCGCUAGUGGCCCGGGCGAGCCACGCAAGGCGGGCGCUAGUGAGGCUUGCGAGCCGGGUGAAGGUGGCGCUGGCGAGGCUGCUAGUGCGGACGAGGCCAGCGAGCCAGGCGAGGCAGGCGCUAGCGAGCCCAGCGCCCACGGGGCCAGCGAGGAGCCAGGCCGACCCGGCGCCCGCGAGGCGGACGGGGGAGCCUCCACAGGGGAGACGGGGACAGGUUGGCAGGUGCCGCAUGUCAUGCAUGGCGCAUGCACGUCCCGAUCAGGACGCUCAUCGGUGACCUGUUCAUCAAGUAGCUCGAGCCGGGCACCGCGUCCAAUACCUGCAGCAUGAUUAGGAAGCAACGCAGUGGCAUAUGCAACAUCCAGGCAUAGGUGUGGACACAUGCACUGGUGGUGUAGAAGUGGUAUAGUUAGUCGGAAGUGCAUGAAAAGGAAAAACAUUUUCAUCAAACACAACGUCACGAGAGAUGUAGGCGCGGUUGGUAGAAACAUGCAAGCACUUGUACCCUUUGUGAAGAGAACUAUACCCGAGAAAGACGCACUUCUUAGACCGAAACUCUAGCUUGCGCUUGUUGUAUGGACGUAAGUGAGGCCAAAAUGCACACCCGAACACUUUGAAGAAUGUGUAGUCUGGAUUCUCAUUAAGAAGAAGUUCAAGAGGGGUUUGCAUUUUCAGAAGUCUCGAGGGAAGCCUGUUUAUGAGAAAACAAGUUGUAGAGAAAGCAUCACUCCAGAACCGAAACGGGACGGAGGCAUGAGCUAGCAAGGUUAGGCCAGUUUCAACAAGGUGACGAUGCUUACGCUCGUACCAUUCUGCUGAUGUGUAUGAGGACAUGACACGCGGUGCAAAAUCCCAAGUUUGUUAAAAAACGAGUCGAGNNNNNNNNNNNNNNNNNNNNNNNNNNNNNNNNNNNNNNNNNNNNNNNNNNNNNNNNNNNNNNNNNNNNNNNNNNNNNNNNNNNNNNNNNNNNNNNNNNNNNNNNNNNNNNNNNNNNNNNNNNNNNNNNNNNNNNNNNNNNNNNNNNNNNNNNNNNNNNNNNNNNNNNNNNNNNNNNNNNNNNNNNNNNNNNNNNNNNNNNNNNNNNGAAGACGCUCAACAUGUGCUUGAAACUGAAUAAAGACAUCGAACACAUCAGACUUACGUUUAAUAAGAUAUAACCAAGUAAAACGGUUGUAAGCAUCAAUGAAACUGACAUAAUAAUUGUGACCGCUAAUAGAUGUCUGGGCAUGACCCCAUACAUCAGAAAACACAAGCUCAAGAGGAUGUUUCACAACACGACUAGACUCUGAAAAAGCAAGUUGAUGACUCUUGCCCUGCCGACAGGCAUCACAAAUAGUUUCAGCAGUUUUAUUGGACACAACUGGUAGAUCAUGACGAUGCAAAACAUGUCGAACUAUGGGAGCCGCCGGGUGACCAAGGCGCGCAUGCCAGUGUGUAGGCGACACACGAACACCAUUGAACGCCUGAGGAGAGGACGACAUGGAAGGUGGGCGCGGCGCAUCAAGUGCAUACAGGCCAUGGCGAAGACGACCACUAAGUAGAACGGCCCUCGUGUCCCGAUCCUUGAUAAAGAAACGAAAAGGGUGAAACUCAGCAAGGAUAUUAUUAUCACGAGUAAGUUGAGGAAUGGACAACAAACUACGUGUAGCAGAAGGAACACGAAGGACAUUAGAUAGAUGCAAUGUGCGAAAAUUGUGUGCAAGGAGAGAAGCCUAACCAACAUGGGAGAUGCGCAUACCUGCUCCACUGGGGGUGUGCACCUAAUCAUGACCACGAUAUGGCUCCUGAGCAGAGAGCUUACCCAUCUCACCGGUGAGGUGGUUGGUAGCUCCAGUGUCCAUGUACCACACAGGAUCAACGGAGUAAGACGGAGUACGUCCAUGAUCAUGACUCGCCAUGGCGGCGGCGGCCUGCCUGUCGUUCCCUUUGCCAUUGUUGCCUAGGCCCAGAAAAUCUUGCUUGUAGCGACGGUGGCAGCGAGAGGCAAUGUGGCGCUCAAGGCCACACAACUGGCAGGCCUGUUGGGCACCACAAGAAGAACAACAUGCCACCGGCCGGUUACCACCCGUGAUGGUCGGAGCAUUGCCCCGCGAGGCCGGCUGUGAAGGAGGCGCCGGUCUGCCUCCUGAAGAUGAUGACCGCUGGGGCUUGCCACGAGUUGCGGCAUUGGCGGAGGCGAAAUUGGGGGAGGCCCGGCGCACCUUAAUGCACUGCUCACAGCCAAGCAAACGUGCAUAGAGCUCACGAGGUGGAAGCGGGUCAUCACGGCCAUGAACAUUCUCAAUGAGAUUGUCAUAAUCAUCAUCAAGCCCAUUAAGCACGAAGGUGGUGAACUCCUCAUCCUGCAGCGACUGACCAACUGAGGCCAACGUGUCGGCGAGACCCCACAUCUUGUUGAAGUAGUCAGUGAUGCUGAGGUCACCAAGCUUCGUCUCACCCAUCUCGGUGCGUAUAGAGUGAGCACGCGCCUGGGACUGAGAGGCAAAACUGGUGUGAAGCGCCGCCCACACCGCCCGCGACGUAGCGGCGAAGAUGACCAGUGAUGAGAUGCUCGGGGUGAGCGAGGACUGGAUGGCAGAGAGGAUGUCCUAAUCCUGAGCCACCCAAGUGUGGAACGCCGGGUGGUGAGGGGGCGGACACUCGAGGGAUCCGUCAACGUAGCCCUCCAAAUAGCGACUCCGCAGAAGAGGGAGCACCUGGGCACACCAGGACAGGUAGUUGUCCGGCGCAAGCUUCACCGGUAGCAGAUGCGAGAAGUAGAACGGCGCCGGCACCAUGGCCGAAUCAGCAUGGGCAUGCGGCGAUGCAUACAGGUCCAUCGACGAGGCCGCCCCAGGGUGUACGGGAUACACCGAGUAGGGCGGGUAGGAUUCGGGGGAGACCGCCCCGGGCGCGCCGUUGUGUGUCGCGGGGGUGCCGUAGGGUGCCGCGGGGGCACCGUGGUAGGGUGCCUCGGGGGCACCGUGGUUUGCCGCGGCCGAAACCACUGCAGCGAGGCAGCCGCAGCUCCAUGCGGGUGCGGGGAGGACGCCGGGUAGGGUUGAGGCGGCGCCGGCGCCGAGUACGAUUGGGGCGGCGAGGGCGCCAAGGAGGGUUGAGGCAGCGCGGGCGCCGAGUAGGUCAGCGGCGGCGGCGCGCCGUAGUAGUGAUGAGGUGGCGGCGCGCCAUAGGGUUGGGGCAGCGCCGUCCAAGAUGACGACGGCGGCGGCCCACCAUGGAUCGCGGGAACACCGCCCGCAGAAGGAGCAGCGCCAGAGGGAGCACCUGUCGGGGUGGCGCCGCGGUCUCCCGAUCCGAUCGGGGAGCGAGGCGACGACGAGGCACCGUAGGCCAUCACGAGGGGCUGCGUGGCAAGGAACGGUGAGGCAGUGGCGAGGGCCGGCACCGCGGCGGCGGCGGUAGGAACCGAGGUCGGCGCGACGGCGGCGGUGGCGGCGGCAGCGGAAGACAUCGUAACCUAAUUUGAUACCAUGUAAGACAUAUGAUUUGGGAACUGCUCGACAACCCUAACCUGGGAUGUGACUAUCUCAUUAUAUAGAGGUACCCAAGGGGUGCAAUACAAUAUUACAAUACAGAUAUGCAGAAGCUACGUAUAUUUAGUCUAACAUGCUGUACUCCUAGCUACGUGCUGAGACGUGAACUAAUUAAGCAGGCGCGUACGACAAUUGCAUCAAGUGAAUAAUCAACCAGCCAACACAACAAGGUCCAUUAUAACCUAGUUGUUCGAUGUCGAGCGUGUCAUUAGCUAGCAGUGGCGCGCACGUACGAAGUCUAAACAAACUGGCAAAUGAUCGAUUGAUUUAUCAAACAAGCAGUAUAUACGUACAACUAGCUACGUGUCAAGGGUAUUGAGGUUCAAACACCGGACAGCUUUGUCGAUCAGGGUCCUAGCGACUAAUUAUAUCAGGUCAAUAUCACCUAAAAUGCCAAGCAGAAAGGAUGGUUGCAUAUGGAAGAAGCCAAGUGACGGUGUGGUGAAAAUAAAUGUGGACGCAUCGUUUCAUGGAGAUACUUUGUCAGGGGAGCUAUAGCUCGUGAUGACAAAGGAGAUUUUAUUGCUGCUGCAAAUUGGUUUAUCCCACAUAUACAAUAUGUUGAUGCUGCUGAACUUACUGCUAUCAGGAACGGUCUUUUUUCUAGCGGCUAGCGUCGGGUGCAAUUAAGUCGAAGUUGAAUCAGAUUGCUCAUUUGCUGUGGACACCUUGAACUCCAUGGAUUAUUUGGGUCCUCAUGUGGCAAUAGUGGUUGAUUGCAAUCAGCUAGCGAUGGAGUUCGGACGCAUUUCUUUCAAGCAUUGCUACCGUGAGCCGUGAGGCAAAUCAAGUGGCGGAUGAGUUAGCAAAGAAUUUUUUUGUUAGUAGAUCCUCUAGUUCUUGGGAAUCUGUGAUUUCAGAUUUUAUUUCUCAUUCUCUUGUAAACGACAUGUCUAUUAUUUGAGAAGUAAAGUGUUUUACCCGUCAGAAAAAAAAGCUACAUUCGUAGUACACUAGUCAAUGACAUAUAUGCCGGAGAUGUUGCCGUGGAUGGGUCUUCUAGGAGGGGCACUGGAAGCCGGAGGGGACGUUCUUGCCGCAGUAGUUGAUGAGGAGGCUGAGGUCGACGGGCACGUUGAGGUGGAUGCCCAGGAUGUUGGCCUUGAGCGCCGUGCACAGGCACACGGCCGCAUCCAGGUCCGCCAGCCCCUGGAGCAGCGAGCAGCACGUCUGCUUCGGCGUCGUCACCGGCCGCAGGUUGAUCAGCCCGCCCAGCACGUUCGCGCACGCCCCAAGCUUCAGCGCGUCGAUCGGGCACUGCCCGCUGCCACCCUUGCCUCCACCGCCGCCGCCGCCCCCUCCUCCUCCCCCUGCCGGCGGCGGCGGGCUAGGCAGGUGGCACCCGCAGUCGUCGGCCAAGGCGAAGAAGAGCAGGUUCAGUGCCAGCAGCGUGACGAGCACCGCCGCUUUCGUCGCCAUAGCUUCCUAUCCGAGCUACUGCGAGUCUACUACGUACAGGGUUUAUUAGAGCUAGCUCACUCUGGCUGUGUGUGUCAAGUGCAAGGGACCUCCGGGUGCUACUUAUAGACCAAGAAGAAAGGAAGGUGUUGAACUAGCUCCUAGCUUAGAGCAUUUUCAACAGCCGCACAACGUGCGAGUCGCGCUAAAAAUGAGAAUACCGCGCCGCGCGAGCUGGGUUUUGCGCGCGGCGCUGCGCUGACUCCAGCGGCCGCCGCAAAAUAAAGCGCGGCCUAACCGCUCCAGCAGACGUGCUAUAUUUUUUUUUUCUUGAGACGAUUGCAUACAUAGCAUACAAAUAUGAAGAUAAUUCGGCACAUAGCCUGCUUCUACGAUACAAAAUGCGUACAUCUAGACUUCUCCAAUGAUAUAUAGUUCUACUACGUCCACAUAGCCUGCUUCUACGAUACAAAAUAAAACUAUUACUACUCGUUCUCCGACUCGGACUCUGCCUCGGUGAUGUCCUCCUCCGACGUCUGAGCAUAGGCGUCAAGGAACCGCUCGUCGCGGGAGUCCCAUGACGACGCAUCUCCUAGCGCCAUGUUGUAUUUAGCGACCGCCUUCCGCAUUCGCUUGUCCUCGCGAUAGGCGGCUCGCUCCUUUCUUCUCUCCUCCCUCUCCGCCCUCCUCUCGACGAAGAAGUGUUUUUCGUUGAUGAUGUCUUGCGGGAAGCAUUGCCUCCACAACGCCAUGACUUCCUCAUCCAUCCCGGUCAGGCUAAGAUGGCACUCCCGUCUCCGGUGUUUGCGACGAUCCUCGUCGGUGUUAAGCCGCCGGAAAGGCGCCAACUCCUGUGCCCGCUCCUCCGUCGCCACGUCGGUGAAGUUCAUGUCCCAACGGGACCGCCGGAGGCGCCACGCCGCAGCGUCGUACGCGCGGGCGCCAUCCUGGGUGGUGGCGAAGGUUCCGAGGCCAAGGCGCACGCCGCCGCCCGACUGAAUCAAGGCGGAAUAGGUGCCGGACGGACGCACGCGGAUGCCGCGAUAGCCGGAACCUUCCCGGCGGCGAGGCGGCAUGGUGGCGCGGUGGUGGCGUGUCGGCGGCGAGGAGAGAAAGCAGUAGAGAGGGCGAGAGAGAGCGGCAGAGGGCGCUGCAAUUUUAUAGGGGCGCGUGAAGCGGCGUGCCAAAUCUAGCGCGCGAGCUGCCGCCUUUUCCCCCGCGCGCUAGUUUGCCGUCACCCCUGGAGCGUGCAAAACCGGGCCGCGCGUGCUAAAAAGCCAAUUUAUCGCGCGCGCGUCUUUUGACGCGCUUGUUGAAGAUGCUCUUAAUUAGGACACAGAUAUUUUACUCACUCCACGCGUGUAAUCGACCAGUCUCUCCAUGAGAAGAUCACCACGAGAUAGCUGAUCGCAACAGGUGCACGGCGCAUGUGAGCUGGCUUUGGCUUUGGGGAUGGGUGGAAGGAGACAAGGAGAUGUUUGGAGUGUUGCCGAUAAAUAAAAGAUGUAAAGCAAAAUUGUGUAAGUGAAACAAUGUCUAGACCGUUGUUCUCAAAUCAGACGGCUCUCGGAGCGCAAAAUCAACCAUAAUGUAGCUUGCCGACUUAGCCGCUCAAAUCUGCGAAUCCCAAGCGACAUGGACAUAUGUGCAGCCGCUUUUGUCCAUUUCUCGUUGAGAGGACAAUACUAUUUCUUGGAGCAUUUUGUUUCAAGGUUUUGUCACACUAAUGACCGAAUUUAUCAUCUGAAGAAAAAUGUAUCAGUUUAAAGGUGGACUUACCACAGUGUAUUUUGCCCAAAUACUUCCUCCCAAACUAAUUGACUGGUUGACCCACCUGCCAGAAUCAUGUGGUGCCGGUGACAAGAAUUACACGUGCGCCGUCUAUUGAAUAUUAUCGCAUUAUCAUCAUGUGGAGUAAACCAUUUUAAGUGCAUUUUCUAUUUAACAGGCACCAGGAAAAUAUUCUCGGUUGGGGCAUCUCCGAUGCCGACCCACAGACCGACCCCAUACUUUCGGACUGCGCUAUCCGACCAUGAAAGCAUCCAACACCGCCCUGUAUCGGCCUGCAGGGCGGUUUAGACGUGAUUUUUUUUUUUUGCAAACCAGAGACAGACAUGAGGAGUUUGCGGGCGUCCGGACCACUGUUAGGCCCGCGUCUGACCGCUCUGGCCCAUCCAAACCCCCUCCCUCGCCGCGCGCUUCCUGCCCGAAACGAUUAGGUGCUUCAGAGCGUCAAUGCAGCAUUCAUGUCUGGCCAGAGCGGACACGACCUAUCACUGGCACCGAUAUUGAAGCGGCACGCAGGCCGAGUGACCGCCGCCCGGCCAUUUCUCGGUGCAGGCAACUACUCCGUGUUCAAACAAGAUGGCGGACGUCCGUCCGUCUACUUGGCGCCCACAUUAAUGACACACGGUUGUCGAGGCAGCUACUUCGGUGCCACCCGUCCGUCCCUCUGCCGCCCACCAUCACAAUAUAAACUACAGCCCUGACCAUUGCCGCGGUCAUCCGCCUCCCAUCCCUUUAUCCUCUCUGCACCAUUCCCGCCAUGGCUUUCUUCCACGCUAAGACUCUUAGGGACGGGCUGAUGCUGGAGCAGAAGAAGAAGAUGGCCACCAUUGCUUUGGCUGGCUGGCCGGCAGGCAAUCGAAGGACGACGACGUCUCAAUGGAGGACGCGGUCGACGACGAGCCGACACCACCCUCCUCGUCCGCGCCACCUACGUCCCAAUGGAGUAUUAAAGUUCGUCGGAACUACAAGGUGCUUCCUUUUUUUGCAUAGUAAUUAAUGUGUGUCACAUUCAUAUCAUAAAGAUCAAAGUACAUGUCACGUAAGGGCUGACAUGGCAAAACUGAAAAGAGAGCAGAACCUCUCUGAGUUUGACACCAAAACUCGCACCUGCCUCUGGCACCAUCAUAGCAGCCACCAAAGAAAAGAAUGAUGGAUCAACUCUUACCCGAGCUCGACGCGGCUCCAUCGCUUAUAUGCAGCUUUGCGGACCUUCAAAGGUGGCUCACCAAAAGUAAAGCCACAGUCGUCGAACAAAUUAGACCGGGACACAUCAUCGAACUCUAGAUCUGUCACUCCACCACGACUAAGACGCCAAAGGAGGAAACCGCACCCUGCCAUCUAUCAACCACGAACACAGCACAUGUUCCGUCUUAUAGAUGUCUUCGAUGCAGACCACAAUCUGCAUCCGCUCCUGGACUACCUUUCACGCUCCGCACCGACAUUGGAGCAGACGUGGUCACAAUGACGGAGUACGAUGACACAUAUUCACCACGAGGAGGCCGUCGGCGUCACACCAUCGUUGAUUGAACAGACUGGUUUCCAAAACUAUCCUCAACCAUAGGGCCGAUCGACUUGUUGGUGAAGAAUAUGAAGAACCUUUAUUCAGCGCCGUCAUCGUCACUGCCGAAGCCAUGACGAUGAACAACCUAAAAACGAAACUACUUUAACUUAUAAUUAUCCACACACGUGGAUUCGGCGAUCCCCUCACCACCGACGACCGAGGUCGUCGGCCAAGGGGAGCCGUUGGAGGACUGCGGCGGAGGAACUCUCCUUGGGAGAGACGCUGGCGAGAUCACAAGGUGCUUUCUUUCAACCACGGUGGAUUGUGUAUUAGCAUUGUGUACUGUCCGUGAACUCUUAAUUUAUACCAGUAUACGUCAUGGUUCCUUACAUGCUUGACUCGAUUGAAAAAAAUUGGCAGGCCUUACCAAAAGGACUAUUCUAUUCACGCACCAAAUGUAUGUGUCCUUGUUAGACUUAGAGAUAUUUGUGUUAUGUAAUCUUAACUAAUUCCUCUAUCCUUUUCUCUCCCGUUUAACUUCCUAUCCUCAUCCUGCUGAAUCCUAGCGAUCGGUGGGCUUCUUGUAAACCACGGCAGGGGUUGUUCCUGCCCCCAAUCAAUAUAAGCCCGCGGCUCCUCUACGGAGGAGUAGGAACGCUUCAUCGAUCCAAUCUAACAUGAUAUACAGAGCCAAGUCUCUUCCUAUCGUCUAGCAAAACCAAAACCCUAAACACCACCCUUCCAUCGCCAUGGCUAUGAGCUCAAGCGCCAUCGCUCUCAACCUAGGUGCUCCACCAACAGAGAAGCUCGCAAGGGGAAACUACCUCCUAUGGAAGGCGCAGGUCAUGCCGGCACUGCAGGCGCGCAAGUGACCGGUCUUCUCGACGGCAGCGAUGCCUCACCGCCGAAGACAGUAGAAGUUACCAAGGCGGACAAAACCACGGCCAUCGAGCCCAAUCCUCUGUAUGGCCCGUGGUUGUCGAAGGAUCAACAGGUUCUAAGCUACCUGCUGAACUCUCUCACCCAGGAAAUCCUUGCACAAGUCAUCGGUAAGGACAGCACCUUUGAUCUGUGGACUACUCUUACCACGUUGUUCGCUGCGCAGUCGAAAUCCCGCAUAACCAAUCUGCGGAUGGCCAUCUCCAACACCAAGAAGGGCAACAUGUCGAGCAACGCCUUCAUCGCCAAGAUGAAGAACCUCGGGGAUGAGCUAGCACUAGUGCAGAACCGAGUUGUAUUACUGGUUCGUAAGGCCCUUUAGUGUCGGUUCUGUAACCGGCACUAAAAGGUGGAGACUAAAGCCCCCCCCCCCUAGUACUGGUUCAGUACAAAUCGCCACUAAAAGGCCACCACGUGGCACGAACCAGCUCCGAGGGCGGGAAGACUAAAGGUUUUUUAAUAAAGCAAAACAACCCACCUACUGGGCCGGCACGACCUGCAUACGACUACAAACCCAACCUCUAGUUGGGCCAGGAUGCAGGCCUGUACGGCCCAAUAGGCCCCACAGGGCAAAAGACUUGCAAUAGGCCCACAAAGGCCUGCUUAGAGAGGAGCUCGACACGGUAGCCGCGGCGGGGCUUAUAAACCGGUGCGAGCUCCGCUCAACUAGCGAGGUGGGACUAAACAUUGCGCACUGUGGGUGGUAGCGCACCCCUUUAGUACUGGUUGGUGGCACAAACCCGUACUAAAGGGGGGGUCUUUAAUACCGGUUGGAGCCACCAACCCAUACUAAAGGUCACCACCUCUUUAGUACCGGUUCGUGACACAAACCGGUACUAAAGGUUCGCCACGAACCGGUACUAAUGAGUGCCGCCCGCCUAGCCGUUGGAACCGGCACUAAUGGUCACAUUAGUGCCAGUUCAAUUACAAACCGGGACUAAUGAGCUUCACAUUAGGCCCUUUUUCUACUAGUGCAGCUACGGCUGGACGUCCAGUAACCGAUCCAGAGAUGGUAGAUUACAUCCUGGCUGGCCUUGAUCGGGACUAUGAUCCCAUCGUGGCAGCGAUCGGCGUCAUCAAGAACUCCAUCAGCGUCGACGACUUCUUCGUGCAGAUCUCAGUGUUCGAUCAGCGGAUGGAGAUGCUGGGAGACGGACCAGCAGGCUUCCGCUCCUCUGCCAACGCCGUCUACAGGGGGCACAGGCAGUACCGUGGCAGGGGAGGCCGUGGCCGAAGCAGCAGAGGAGGACGCGCCCAAGGGAACCGCUCUUCUCCCUCCCCUAGCCGCGGUGGUGGUGGCGGCCAUCAGCAGCAACGAUUCCGUUCCCAACUGCAACAACAACAACAAGAAGAAGGAGACUACCCAGAGUGCCAGAUCUGUAGGGAUCUACGGUAGGGUGCGUCGACUGCAAAUUAAAAUUUUCCUACGCGCAGAACAACAUGAACAUGCUAUGGGAGAUGGAUCAUAGUUCGUUACCACUAGACGCGCAGUGCCGUGUAGCGGAAGAAGAGUUGGGGCAGCGCUUCUGCAUGGAUCGUCUCCUCCUCGUCCGAUCUCCCUCGAACAGCCGGUCAUCUGAUCCCACGUACAAGUUCGCCAGAGCGGCGCAAGUGCACCGCCUCUAACGGUAUCCGCGCAUGCAGGAGGAACACCGUGCGGUAGACUACUAGGUCCGAUCACACAGUCGGCGGCGAGUGGAGGUGGCUAUUCACAACACAUGCGAACCCUAGUCGCAGCGCCGAAGCGAUCAACCGCAUGAGUGUUCCGCACCUCCACUUUAUAUAUAUAGGCGUCCGUCGCGGGCUCAACACUUGGGCCUCGUACGGAUCCUAAAGCCCACAAGUCUACUCGGCCACAAUCCGAAUACAGCUCGGAUCACAUCUGACCAGUGUCCUCGGAUCCGACCUUGUAGGUUCCUUCCCUUAAGCGCGCGACCCCUUAGGUUCAAGUCGACUUGGUCGCAGUUCGGAUCACCUCCGAACUGCACGGUUGGUAGCGGCCUCUAGCAAGGCAUGCCGAACACCAAGCAGACCAUGAAGCUGGUUAGGCGAACCUGUACAACGUGUCACACUUCUGUUCCCUUUUGCCACACGAUAUAUGUUGUCGGGCUCAAGGCGAGACUGUCAUCCUUGUGCUAGCCCGACCUCUUUCUCGUUCCAGUGAUACCGACCACAAUCCGGAUUAUCUCAUAAUCCUUGUCGCAUGGCCAUGCUUAUCCUGAUCGGAUCACACGAGGGGCCCAGAGUAUAUCUCUCCUGAUCGGAGGGGCAAAUCCCAUCUUGCUCGACCAUGUCUCGCAGCAUGGGACUGGACAAACCCGAAACCUACCUUUGUAACUACCCAGUCACGGAGUGGCGUUUGGUCGGCCCAAAGCAAGUCUGUCACCAUCCUGAGUACAUGCAUCAGCUCGGGUCUUAUGACACAGAAUGUAUGUUGUACUAGAGACUCACAGAUGACAUAUCACUGCGUCUCAUAGUUGGGUCUGUCCGACUCGGACCUUAUCUCGACUCGGAUCCGACUACGUCGUAUCCGACCAGACCAGACCUUUCCAAGUCCAUAUUAUCCUGUUAGCAUCCAAUGCUCCAUGGCUAGUGAGACCGAGCCAUCGACCGUGCCAUAUGCUAGUCUAGUCGGAUGCACGUCCACACAACCCUUUCGACUAGGGACCUUUUAGGACAGUCAUCAUACAAUGCAUAGUCCCACAAACAAGUCACGUACUUGCUGAUACACAUCAUUGAUAAUGUCCAAGGACUAUCUUUAUUCAUAAACACAUAGGAAAUAUCAUCAUACAUGAUUGCCUCUAGGUCAUAUCUCCAACAAGAUCUGCUACAAGUUUCAUGCUGGUGGCGCAAGAGCCUGCUGGCAUCGAUAUGAUGAUGAUCAUGAGGAGAAGAAAGCAGCCAACCUCGUCACCAACAACUACGGUAUCGACACCAACUAGUACGCAGACUCCGGCGCUACUGAGCACAUCACCGGGGAGCUUGACAAGCUAACUAUGCGGGAAAGGUAUCAUGGCGGUGAUCAUAUGCACACGGCAAGUGGAACUGGUAUGGACAUUAAUCAUGUUGGAAAAACAAUUGUUAAAACCCCCGUAAAAGAUUUACACCUUAAUAAUGUCUUACACAUUCCACGUGCUUCUAAGAAUCUCGUUUCUAUUCAUCGCUUUGCCCUUGACAACAACGUUCUCAUAAUAUUUUAUUCCUACUCUUUUGUGAUCUACUCUUUUGUGAUCAAGGAUUUGGCAACGAGGAGAGUCAUCCUUAGAGGAAAGUGUGAGGGAGGCCUAUAUCCACUCAUAUCAUCUUCAUCUUCAUCACGGUCGAAUAAGCAAGCGUGGAGUGUCACCAAACCUUCCUCGGCAAGGUGGCAUAGUUGUAUCGGUCAUCCCUCUUCAGUUAUAGUUCAACAUGUCCUUAGCAAGAAUAAUCUUCCAUAUGAGUCUAGUGUUGAGUCAAUUUGUGAUGCUUGCCAGCAAGCCAAAAGUCAUCAGCUACCUUACCCUAUAUCUACGAGUGUAUCCACUGCUCCUUUGCAGUUAGUUUUUUCCGAUGUAUGGGGACCAGCUCCCACAUCAGUUGGCAGAUUUUCUUAUUAUGUUAGUUUCAUUGAUGAUUAUAGCAAGUUCACUUGGAAUUAUUUGCUAAAGAAACGAUCUAAUGUUUUCCAAGUGUUCCUUAACUUCCAAAACCUCGUAGAACGCCAACUAGACUCAAAGAUUCUUGCUAUGCAAACCGACUGGGGUGGUGAGUAUGAAAAAUUAAAUUCCUUUUUCCAAAAAAUUGGAAUUUCUCACCAUGUCUCUUGCCCCCAUGCUCACCAGCAGAACGGGUCAGCUGAACGCAAACAUCGUCAUGUUGUUGAGGUAGGACUAGCCUUCCUAGCCAAUGCUUCCAUGCCCCUAAAAUUCUGGGAUGAAGCUUUUCUCACUGCCACAUAUCUUAUAAAUAUUCGACCAAGUAAAGUCAUCAAAUUCGAGAGUCCCAUCACAGCCUUUUUGGCAUCAAACCAGACUUCAAAUCCCUUCGAGUCUUUGGUUGUGCAUGUUGGCCAAAACUAAGGCCAUACAACACACGCAAACUUGUGUUUCAUUCAAAAAAAUGUGUGUGUUUGGGCUAUAGCCCUAUGCACAAAGGAGUUAAGUGUCUCGAUGUUCCACCGGCAGAGUUUAUAUUUCUCGAGAUGUUGUGUUUGAUGAAUCAGUUUUCCCGUUUGAAUCCCUUCAUCCUAAUGCCGAUGCUCUCCUUCGUCAAGAGAUUCUUCUUCUUCCAUCUACACUUCGAGAUUUUGAUCACGGGGGAAACAAUUGCACUAACCAACAUGAUGAUAGUAUUCCUACUGGAAUCAGUCCUUGUCUUCCGUGUGUGCAGGUCUCUGAAGAAAACAGAGUUCAAAACGAUCAAAAUGAUCAAAAUCACGUUCAAAACGAAGCUAUAUUGCAUGUGGAACAAGAAGACGAAGCUGGCGCGACGUACGAAGACGAUCUGGCGGCGCCUGCCACUCCUGCGUGCCAAUCCUCCUCGGAUCGGGCGCGGAUAUCCGCCCUGGAUCGCGAGCCAGUCGGCCUGCACGACCAGGGCCGGGCGACGCAAUCAGCGAUCGCCACGUCUUCACGUGUGGAAUCCUCCUUGAGCGCCGGCCCGCGCAUGUAGCCAGCUGCGAGGCGCGGCUCGCACAUGCGGCCAAUAGGCCCACCUGGCGCGGGAUCGGCUAUGGCAACGGGCGGUGCGGUCAUGAGUGUGCAGGCCACACCCGCGGCCACUGGAUCUGGUGUGGCAUCUCCUGGUUCCUCUCCGAGAUCUUCUGGAAGCAGUGAUGUCGUGCGUCCGUGUGUACAACAACCUCCACCAGCCACGUCAGGAGUUACAACUCGGCUACAAAAAGGUAUUAAGAAUCAAAAUAAGAACUGAUGGCACUAUACCGUAUGGUAUGUUGUGCAUUUCAUGUGAGCCAACAAAAUUGAAUGAUGCACUUGGAGAUCAAAAGUGGAAAAAGGCUAUGGUUGAGGAAUAUACAGCUUCAAUGAGAAACAAAACAUGGCACUUGGUGCCAAAUCAGAAAGGUAAAAAUAUCGUUGACUGUAAGUGGGUGUAUAGGAUCAAGAAAAAGGCAGAUGGCUCCAUUGACAGGUAUAAAGCAUGCCUUGUUGCUAAAGGUUUUAAGCAGCAUUAUGGUAUUGAUUAUGAGGAUACAUUUAGUUCUGUGGUAAAAGCUGCAACCAUAAGACUUGUGCUAGCUAUUUUUGUGUCGAGGGGAGGCAGCUAGACGUAAUGCGUUUUUGCAUGGUGUUCUGAAAGAGGAGGUCUACAUGAGGCAACCACCAGGCUAUGAAAACAAAAAAAACUUCAUCAUGUAUGCAAACUUGACUAGGCCCUUUAUGGUUUGAAACAAGCACCUAGAGCAUGGUAGUCUAGGUUAAGUAUGCAGUUGAAACAUCUUGGAUUUAUCGCAUCAAAGGCUGACACAUCUCUCUUCAUAUACAAUAAAGCAAAUACUGUUAUUUUUGUGCUCAUAUAUGUUGAAGAUAUUAUAGUUGCAAGCUCAUCUCAGAAUGCUACUGACGCUCUCCUGCAUGAUCUGAGCUCAAAAUUUGUUUUAAAGGAUCUUGGUGAUUUGAGUUUCUUUUUAGGCAUUGAGGUUAAGAAGGUUCGGGAUGGUAUAGUGUUGAAACAGGAAUAAUAUGCCAUUGAACUCUUGGCUCGGAUGGGAAUGAAGGAUUGCAAGUCUUCACCUACACAAUUAUCUUCAUCAGAAUAGCGGUCAGCAUAUGAAGGGGAGCCACUUAAAGAGGAAUAAAGCACUAAAUACAGAAGUGUUGUUGGAGCAUUGCAAUAUUUAACCUUGACAGGACCAGAUAUUUCAUUUGUUGUUAAUAAAGUAUGUCAAUACUUGCAUGCUCCUACUUCUACUCAUUGGACAGUUGUCAAAAGAAUCAUACGGUAUGUUAAGCACAUUGUGGGUUUGGGACUACAUUUCAGACGUUUCAAUUCUACACUUGUUAGUGCUUUUUCUGAUGCAGACUGGACAGGCUGCAGUGAUGAUAGAAAAUCAACAGGUGGGUUUGCUGUUUUCUUUGGUUCUAAUCUUAUUUCGUGGAGUGCCAGGAAACAAGCAACAGUGUCAAGAUCAAGUACUGAAGCUGAGUACAAGUCACUGGCAAAUGCUACUGCUGAAAUUAUUUGGCUUGAAUCUUUGCUUGAGGAAUUGGGUGUGAAGCAACAUCGUAUUUCAUGCCUAUGGUGUGAUAAUUUGGGUGCUACUUAUUUAAGUGCCAAUCAUGUUUUUCAUGCCAGGACCAAGCAUAUUGAGAUAGAUUUUCACUUUGUACGAGAAAGAGUUGCAGAGAAGAAGUUGGAGAUACGGUUUAUUCCUUCCAGAGAUCAAGUGGCUGAUGGGUUCACUAAAGCUCUACUAUACAAGCCAUUUGAAGCAUUCAAGAACAAUCUCAAUCUAGAAUAGGUAGUUCAGAUUAAGGGAGGAUGUUAGACUUAGAGAUAUUUGCGUUAUGUAAUCUUAACUACUUCUUCUAUCCUUUCCUCUCCCGUUUAACUUCCUAUCCUCAUCCUGCUGAAUCCUAGCGAUCAGUGGGCUUCUUGUAAAUCACAGCAGGGGUUGUUCCUGCCCCCAAUCAAUAAAUACCCGCGGCUCCUCUACGGAAGAGUAGGAAGGCUUCGUCGAUCCAAUCUAACAGUCCUAGCAUUAGCGAAUUUAGCAUGGUGGAUUGACAACAUAGCAAGGUCGAUUGACAACAUCAUCAUGACACGAUGCGUGCGAAGACAAUGUCUAGCAAGGAGACACAUUGCUGUUUGCCGUAGGUACGUGAACGUACGUGGUGUAGAUGGAGGCAGCGUCGACACGCAGAUCUUUUCCCCGUCAUCUUUGACCGUGACACGUGCAUGCCUUGUAGGGUGCGGUCCAUAUGCUUGCAGGCAUAGGAACAAAGUGUUUGUUACCUAGCCCCGUCUCUGGCUUGGCACAUGCACCUGCUGGAUAAUCACCCUCAGCCAGGUGCUUAUGUUUACCUAGCUGUCUAGCAUUUCUUUUUUGAAAUGAAGAGAGGCUAGGAGCCUGUGGUUACGUGUCCUUUUUCGUGAGUCACGUCGACCGGAAGCUUGGUAAUGUGUAGCUAGCCUGCUUCUGCCUGUAGCACAUUUCAGAUCAUUGUGCUCUGUGCAGUGUACAGAAUGAAGCACGACACAUGUGUGCAUGCAAGUGGGUGAUGGAUACAUUUCGAUCCGUGCAUCCCGGUCCUAAUGAGACGCGACACAGAUCUCAUAGCGCGCGGAGCUUGCAUGGAAAGAAUAAUUAACCAGCUGCUGCCAACACGAUAACUCCGAUCCUAAAAAAAACGAUAACUCAGGGAGCACUUUUUUUUUUUUUGAACUCAGGGAGCACAUGAAUGAAUUCACAGACGCUAACAAACUGCAUGGACCAGUACCACCCUAGGAAAUCAAAAGCGCACACAAUUUUUUUUGCGGGGACACACAAUUUUAAUCGAAUCAGUUAACAAAAACGCGGAAGAUCACACAUAGUACUGAAAGUUGACAUGUGAUAUUAAUUACUUUAUUACAAUUGUAGGAGGAGCAACCUCCUUUUGAAGCAAAUAUAAUAGUAGCAGGCAGCGGUACAAGCAUGAGAUCAUAUGUGGCUGAGAACUCGAUCCAUGGUCCAUACAGUACCGUGGCCUAGUUCGAUGACAAGCAGUAGUUCAAAGGAUACUACCCCACACACACACACACACAGAGACACGAGCACACAUGUAAAGUUUAGCAUGCAACUAGCAAGAGCGAUGAUAAAUUAUGAAGCAAAUAACGUAUACGACUAGCUAUAGAGUACUAGUCAAUGGAUGGAUCGUAGAUCAUGCAUGCGAGCUGGUGUACGCAUGCAUGCACGUACGUACGUAUAGUGGAUGCCUGCUGUGGACGAUGGAUCUCUCGGGUCUUCUCUUCUAGCGGGGGCACUGGAAGCCGGAGGGGACGUUCUUGCCGCAGUAGUUGACGAGGAGGCUGAGGUCGAUGGGCACGUUGAGGUUGAUGCCCAGGAUGUUGGCCUUGAGCGCCGUGCAGAGGCACACCGCCGCCUCCAGGUCGGCGAGGCCCUGGAUCAGCGAGCAGCACGGCUGCUUCGGCGGCGUCCCCAGCUGCAGGUUGAUCAGCCCGUUGAGCACGUUGGCGCACACGCCCAGCUUCAGCGCGUCGAUGGGGCACCGCGCGCGCCCGCCUGAUCCGCC